rnacentral:lncRNA from 1 species
UACCCUUUUCCUUCUUCUCUUUUUUAUUUUUCUUCUUUUUAUCUUUUUCCUCCCCCUCUCUAUCAUCUUCUUUAUCUUCUGAGCCUAUAAUAUCUUUGUUCUUCUCCUUUUUCUUCUUCUUCUCUUCCUUGUCCUUCUUUUUAUCCCCGUUGCUCUGUUUCUCUUCCUCGUCCUUCUCUUUGCCACUCUUGUUUUUUUUCUUCUUUUCCUUCUUGGUUAUGUCUUUCUCCUUCUUCUUUGAUUUCUCCUCAUCUUUAUCAAUAUGUUUCUCCUCAUCCUUUUUAUGUUUUGGCUUCUCUUUUACCACUGACUUGGUCUUUAAUUCAAGUUCCACCUCAGCCUUCUCCUUCUUUAAUUCACCUGGUUGUGCAUCCUUGGUCUUGACCACUACAUGGGAUUCUUCCUUUUCAACCCUUUCUUCCCCUGGAUGUUCAAUUUUGUCUUCCAUCUCCAGAUUAUAUCCUAAAAUUUUAAAUGUAAAACUGUUUCCUCUGGACCUGAGAUUACCCGAAACAAAUGUAAAUGUAAGACGAGUAAUCUGAGAACAAAUGCAGUAGAAUAUGAAAAUCCUAAUACUUGGUGAAUUAUAAAAUCUCAUAAUUAACAAGAACAAGAAAAGCCAUUGUGUUUGCCUAAAUAAGAAUAAAUUGUUUACGUUUAGAGCUCUGUAGUCAGCACAUCACAGCCAAUGCUUAAACAAUUGGAAGAUUACAAAUAUUUCAUCUACAUGUUUUACUAUAAAAAUGCAAGCUAAUGAAACUUAUAUUCCUUUCUUCAAUCCUCAUGAAAAAUCGACCCAAAGAGUCUGCUGGCGAAGUGGAUACGGUUGAACAACGCCGUCAGGGCGGCCCCAUUGAUCGGCCCGAUGCCGCAGAUGCCGGUCCAUGUACUAAUUAAAAUAAAUAUUUAAGCUUCAAAAUAUGCAGUUUUGACUGAUCACUGCUAGAAAGUUAUAUCAAAUGUCUCGUCUUUUUCGUAUAUAGUUCCUAGAAUAUUACUAGAGUAGAGACUGACUAUCAAUUUUGGUGUGCAAAACUGACAACUUGAAAAGGUAUGGAGGAUGGAUCUCAAGCAAUGAAAAAUUUCAAAGAUGUGAAAUUCAAUAGGACUGCAAGAUUGGAUUAUAGACCAUAGACCUCAUUACAUUCUGCUUUGUUGCACACACUAGUUCCUGAAAGCAAAAGUAAGGCUCUCCCCAGACAAAAGGGGAUUCUUUCAUCUACUAUGAUAUGAUUGGUUCUGAGGAAAAACUAUCACUCUAUCCAAGUUUGCUACAAACAGGAAUUUUGAGGCUUGUCUAGUCUACAAAAUAUCUUAGCAAAAGCAUUAGAAUCCCGUGGAAAGCCGUGUUCGAUGACAGUCGUAUGUAUGGGUUGGAGAGAUUAAUUUCAGCUGAUUCUGUUAUAGCCUAUAAUCUUUAAACAUUAGGGGGUUUCUUCCAAAUUGACUUUUAUUUUUGAUUUUCAACACAAAACACAUUUUGGUCCUUCACUGCUAUAUAUUUUUUUCUAAACAACGGUUUGAGUACAGAAUACGUACAGUAUUUGAUAACUUUUUCUCUACAUUCCCAAUACACAAAGUAAGUAAAUAAUUUGAUAAAAUCAAACUGAACUGAUAAAAGAAAGAAGAAAAAAAAGAAGCCAUUUACAGAUUCAAGAGAGAGACAGUGAGAGUGCACUUGAAUAGUAAGGAAUUAAGGAUCUGUCCUCAACUAUCUAAUUGCGUGCUUAAAUUGUGAAACCAGUAAGUAAACAAACCAAGAUGAACACAUCAAGUAAAAGCAACAACGACAAAACUUCAUUUCUCAUUCACAAUUCCAAAGACAAAGUAGCAGCAGCUAUAGACAUAUAGUGAUUUGCAAGAAAAAUUGGCAACAACUCCAAUUCUGUGUGUACCUUAAUUUGUGUUUCCCCAAAGGAAAAGAAGAAACCGAUACAGAUUGCUGUGUUGUGUUUGUAAGUAACAGUGAGAGAGAGAGAGAGAGAGAGAGAGAGAGAGCGAGAGAGCCUGUGGUUUUGCAGGUUAGCUUAGAGUGUGAAGAGUGGUGUGGCUAUUUGUUUUGUAUAUAUAUCCUAUUAGGAAUGAAGGCUGUUUGGGCAUUGAUUACUUCACAGAUAGCCACCUGUCAGUCUUUUCGUCAACACGGAAAGGACCGAAAUUUUACACGGACGGACCUUAAACCUUUGCGUACGUAUCCAUGGUUGUCUUUAACUCCCUCCUUCCUACGUCGGUUCUUUCUUCUCCAACACUUGCGACACCUGCGACUUGACAAAUAUCACACUUCUGACGCGGUUUAUUGGAAGUUUUAUUUCAUUAUUUACUGUCGUCCCCUUGAAACUGAGUGAUCCAUUUUACUCUCCUACCCGACCAACCAUUUUUUUACCUACUCUUAACUUCAUCCAGAAAUAUAUUAAUUUUGAUGAUGUGACAUGAAUAUUUUGAUAAAUUUGCACAAUUGAACCAAUUACUUGUCAAAUUCAGUGACUUAUCUAGCAAACUAGAGCCUACGUGUUGAAUGUAGCUUUUGCUUGCGUAAUUUUGCCCCAAAUUGGGGAGAUGAUGAUGAAAUUGGCCCUACUUGUGAGUGGUUAUAGUGUAAUACGGUAGUACGGUCAUGUUGUAUAACUUGUGUUGUGCUUUUUCACUGUGAAAUUCAAAGUUAACCACACCAUAAUAUAAACCACACUUGGAUAGAAUAAUAUAAACAAGAAAUAAAAAUAUUGUACAAGAGAUUGACAAGGUUUGGCAAAAUAAUGCCUACAUGCCCGAAUAGAGUACUUCACUAUGAGAAUACUAACAGUAUAAGAUACACUUGAGUUAAAUCAACAUAACCCAAACCCAAAACCCUUGUACACCCACUUACAAUGUUUACCAAGAACUCUAUCUCUCACCCACAUAUUUCUCCCUGUUUUUCACUCUCUCUGCGCUCUCUAACUUUCUCACGGAAUGCAACCAACACAAAACAAGCUACACUUCUAUUUAUAUAGAAGCCUUGAGUGGGCACCAAGCUAGGGGGAAGCGUCUGCAACAAGCUUCCUUCAAUAUGAAGACUUUACCUCCUCACAACUUUUACCAAAGCCAUCAUUGCAUGAAACUACCACUUGAUGCACUGCCUAUUAGCUACACCAAAAGUCAAAGAUUGCUACACUAUAUUUACCUUGUAGCUUAUCCCACACUUUUAACUUGUGGGUCCAAUUAUCAUAAUAUUUACACCAAUUUUAACAAUCUCCACCUUGGUGAAAAUGCCAUGCAAAACUCGGAGCAUCACUAAGAAUAAUUAAACCAUUGGCCUUCACAAAACACACCAGCUACACAUCACAUAAAUCAACAAAUUUGGCCCAAUCCCGAUUCAUGUUACACGACUAUUGAUGCUCAAAAUGGCUCGGCCAAUGUUGAGUCCAACUUAGUGAUGAGGUGUGUGGAGUCUUCAGUAGAGAAGAAGGCUAAGGCCUUUGAUAAGGGGGGAACCUGCAGAAGACAAAAUGGGAGAAGCAAUCGUUAAGCUUUGGACACCGGUGUGGUGCCGGCCAAAGGCUCUCCUAUGCUUAAGCCAGCUAUAAGUGGUAAUUUUGGCAAAGUAACAAUAAAGGUGAGAAAGUAGAUACCCUUUUUACUUGGGUACUGUUCCCUAUUUAUAAGGAGGUGAAAGUGGGAGGUUUGCACAAAGUUUCAAUGUGGGACUUUGUGCAAGUCGUCGUGGUGGCGACACGUGUCCUAGGGAUUAGGUUUGGCAAUUAGGAGCUUCGGCAGGUGUCUGGCACAUCGGAAGUGUGUCUUCCUUUGGCAAGGAAGAAGGCGUGGCUGUCUUGGUGCUAGUCGCUUUGAGGCUGAGUAUGCUCGAUUGAUUAUGGUGUAAACAGUAGUCCCCCAAGUUUGAGGUCAAGAAGUAACUUCUGGGUUGGGAACUUGUGAGUUUUCGUGACCGAGCAUUCCAGCUUUAGUGGGAGCCGUAAGGCAUUCCCUAAUCCCCCAAGUUGACAAGCUAGAAGUUGCGGCAACACUUGGUAGCUGUGUGAGCUUCUAGGACUAUUUGGUAGCUGGGUACCCAAGUUUUUGGCAAGGAAGCUGGGUCUGGGGCCUUGAAUGAUGAGCCCUUAUUCUUCUUGCAAUGCCUACUGUUCGGCAGGCUUCCUUCUUCUUAUUUUUUUAUUUUUUUUAUUUUUUUAUUAUUUAAGUCUUGGGCCUUGGAAAUUGAGUGCAUCAGCAAGGGAGUGGCUCGUGGGCCUCCAGGUGUUAGAGCGGGUUGUGACCAUGUCUUGACUUUGGGAGGAAAGGGGGUGGGCCUUUUUUGUUUCGGCAGCGUAGCUGGGCCACUUUUGGGCCUAGGCAGGGCCUUAGGGUCUAGAAUUUAGAGAGGCAUUCAGCACCAUGGGCCUAUGGAUUAAUUCGAAAGGACCUGGGGUCUUUUUUCUUAGAGUGGGCUGAGCCACGGAGAUAUUUGUUGGGGCUAGGGUUAAGAUUUGUGAGAGGGGUGUAAAUAAGUUUCUAUAGCUCUUGCCGUUCGGCAAGAAAUAGCUGGGACCUUUUUGUAGCUGGGUCUGGCAGUAUCCCUUCGGCAAGGACCUUCUUUCGGCAAUUGGAGCUCUUCUUUCCUUCGGCAAGGGUGUUGGGUUCCAAGGCAAGGUUAAGCUGGGUUUUGGGGGUUCUUGCCGAUCGGCAAGGUUGUUUUCGAAGGAGUUGGUCCUUCAGCAGUCGGGCACUUCAUUGAAGUUUCGGUAGGAGGGUGAAGCCGGGCUGCAUGGGUAUUUCGGUAAGAAUUGGUUUUGCUACAGCAGCUUUUGUGGGCGCGCAUUGGAUAGUUUGGCAGCAGUCCCUGCCAAACGGCAGGGUUGGCAUGAGUUUUGUUGAAAGGUUCGUGAGCUAAAGAGGGUGAACUAUUCGUGUGGCUACGAUUCCAGCAUAGCUUCGGCAAGGUAACAUUCUUGCGUCCCUGUUUUUUGUUCGUUCUCGGACCUUGCCGUUCGGUAAGCUUGACUUUGAGCCUUGAUUAUUGCUUUCCAAGCUUCAGCAAGACAGUGGGGUCGGCAAGGGUGUCCAGAGUAAAUUUAAAUUGUUUGUGUUUAAAGGGUGGGGCUGGGCAUAAGUUGGAGUCGGGCCCUUUGUGGUGGCACGGAUUUGAACUGGGUCACCAUAGCUUCGGUAGCAACUGGGCUAUAUGACCCGGGUCUAUUAAGGUACGCAUUUUUUCGCAGCUCCUCCUUUUGGUUUGUUCAUCCCUUGCCGUUCGGCAAUGGGGGGUUGAGAGAUUUAUUUUGCUGUUUUUUAUGUUUAGCAAUUUGUGAAAUCGAAAAAAUUUGGUGUCGGCAGAAGUGCUUGGCUAGGCUACACGAACCGAGCGAGGUGCUGAAGUGUGAGAAGGGACUUGAGGACUUAGAGCUGGGUCUUGUGAAGGUAAAAUAUAUAUAUAUAUUUUUUUUGGCAGAGCUGGGCUCGUGGGUUAGAGCUGGGGUCUUUGAUUUGUGAGCUGUGGUAAGCUUGGGCCUGCCAGGUUGUGCUGGGGUGAGCUUGGUCCUUCAUGCUAGUUCCUCACUUGUUAUAAAGAACCUAAAUUGCUUUGAUGGUUGUUUGACUUUGCAGCAGGGGAUGUAGACUUGCUGUGAAUUUCGUGGGUUUCUAAAUAAUUCUGCACGGCCCUUGCCAUUUGGCAAGGCAUAAGGAAUUUGCUGAGUCUUGACUCGGCGAGAGUGCUUUUGUCGUAGCUUCACCGUUGUAUCUGGGAGCUAGGCCCUUGGAUUUAUGUCAAGAACUUUGGCAAGAUAGGCCCAAGAGGUAUUGGAGCUAGGCCAUUGGCGUGUUGGUGGUGCCUAAUCCCUUAACAAGAGCAAGACCACCCUUACGUACGUGUCUUCGGGUGUUUUAGUGUAGGUGAGUUUGGAGCUGGGCCUCUUCGGUCGCCACUUGGUAGCUGGGCCUUGAUUUCGGUAAAGGUAAGAAUUUUAUGACCUCCCAAAAUAAGUUUUCAUGGGACUUGCCCAUUUCGAAAUGGUGGUAACUUUGGUUUUUGUAGGCUUGAAGGGCUUGGUUUCGGAGCUUGGUUUGAGCUUGUAACUUCUUUCAAGAGGCUAGGCCUCUCGAUUUUUGUUUUUUGAACCUUGGUGGGCGUUUAGCUGGGUCCCGAAGGUUUAGGCAAUAGCCGGGGUGUCUUGGGGCUUCGGCAAGACAAGGAAGAAAUCGGAGCUGAGCCUUUAGAGCUAGGCCUGCGUCAGAGCUGGGUCAUUAGACUCUUGGCAAGAGCUGGGCUUCUUAAAGCUAGGGCACGGAUUUUGUUGCUUUACUUUUAGAAAAAAGGUGAAUGGUAAGCCCUCCCGUUUUACUUCCACGGGUCUUGCCUUUCGGCAAGGUCCCUUUGAAAUCUCUUCGCUGCUUUUUUUUGUUUAAAAUAUGAAUUUCAAAUUAUGUGUAGGUACAAGAAAUUUGAGGGGAAGUGAGGGGGUGCUAGGGUUUUCUCAUGAACCGAGGCGUGGGUACCCUUGGUUCGUUAUAAAUAGGAACUUGGGGUGGCUAAGGCACUACACCUGAGUUUUGGAGAAAAAGUGCUAGAAAGUGAGAAGGAGAAGAAGAUUUCCGCCGAGGUUUGGUGGUGGUGCUUGUGGCCAAGGUGAUUUCCGGCGAUUCUUUCGUGGUGGUGCAAACAAGGUUAGGCCCUGUUUCUUUGAAAAUUUUGAAUUGAAAUGUCUUUCUUUGUAUGAACAUGUUGAAGGCUAGGAAGAACACCUUGAAUAUGAGCAUGAACAUGAUGAACACGUUGAACAUUGAGAUGAACAUGUUGAGUGCCUGUUUGUAAACCAAAAGACAUGUAGAUUAUCCAUCUUUUUAUGUUGUUGUGUUUCAAUCCUCCUUGCAUGUGCAUUAGUUCCUUUUUCUUAUUUUUGCAUAUUGUAGAUGUCUGAAAAUUCUGAUAGAGAAAGUCAUGAACCCCCUGCUUUUGGUGGGGAUGAUACUAAGAGUGAAGAGCCCAUCCAAUAUAUUUGUUAUGAAGAGGAGAGUUUAGAGACAGAGGGUGUGGUAGAAGGUAUUAUAGAAAGUAGGGUGGUAGGGCAUGAGGGUGAGGGGGGUGAGCCAUCAGUAGACUCCGGGUCAGCUGCAUAUAGGGAGAUGUAGAGGAACUAUAUAGAGUUAGAGGCUAUAGCGAACCGAGUUCUAGCCUUGCCUCAUACGCUAGAGGUGGGUUCGAGCAACCAGGCAUCACCAUCGGGGUCCGUGAGUAUAGCCGUGGCCUCAGUUUCAGAGGGAGUGGACAUUCGGGUUGGUGUCCUUUUGGUGAGGCGGAACACCCUUACAGAAGCAAAGUUGGCCCAGCUUCGGACAAACUAUUGUGUUCCACCCUAUGUGGGCUUGAGGUUACCCACUGCAGCUGAUGUGAUUAGAUAUCCUUCGAAUGGCUCUGUGAUGAUUUUUACGGAUAUGUACUGGCAUGGCUUCAGACUACCAUUUCAUCCAUGGGUGCAGAUGACGUUGGCUAAGUUGGGAUAUGCGCCGGGGCAGUAUAAUCCCAACAUUUGGAUUCUUCUUUAUGGAGUUUACAUCGCUUGGUGGCUGGGUGGGUUGAGGGAGCCAACAUUUGAGCAGUUCAUGUACUUGUACUCGGUUUCGAAACAACAGGGAAGUUUUGGCUGGGCACAGGCCAAUUGCCGAAAGGCGAUGGGUUAUUUUAUUAGUCGCAAGCCAUCUACGCAAAAGUCUUGGAGGAACAAGUGGUGCAUGGUUCAUGGUGACUAGGAGUGUCCGCCAGGGAAGACCUUUACCCAACACAUUCCUACCCACUUCCAGUCUAUAGGUCCUUGGCCCCAUCCCUUAAGACUGUUUGGUGUUUGAUUUUCUUUUUCCUGUUCUCACUCUUGGUUCUUUAUUUUUACGUGUGCAAGUGUAAAUGACUAAGUAGUAUCUAACCUUUGGUGUAGAUUUGGUGAAGUGGGGGCCUAUCUCCAAGGAGCAAGAAGACUAUGUUGAGAGGGUGAGGUCACAGUUAUCAGAGACCGAGAGUGAGUGCCAAAACCUAGUCACCCAAAAAAAUUUGUUGGAGUCUAGACUUCUGCAAGGAAGUAAGUACCUGGGUCACUUUUGUUGUUUGUCUUCUGAUUCCCUUGUGGUUGCGACUAACAUAGUUUUGUUAUUUUUGAUGUGCAGUGGCGGGUAUUAUAAAAGGGAGCACGAAGGUGGUAGUAGAUAUUGAUGAUGCCGAGAUACAGAAGCGGCUAAGGGAGUCUCAGGCCAAGAAGGCGGAGCAGGGGACUGGGAAGCACCCUAGAGAUAAUGAUGAGUGCCGGGUUGUUGACAUGUUGGGAAAGAGGAAGGCCUUGGAGGAAGCUUAUCAGCAUGUGAUGGGGGCGGGACCGAGACUUCCUCCCUUUGAUCUGCAGGCGCCGCCGAAGCUCCCCUUUGGCAUGGAGGACAUUUUUGCUGAAGGGGUGGAGAAUGUGGACUUCGGCAAACUACGUUAGUAGAAGGAGGUGAACUUAGCCAUGCAUCGGCAGGAGGUGCCCCUGGUGAACGUCUUCCUAGAAGGCAUGAAGAGUGACCCCAAGGCCCUGGCGAGGACCCCGGCCUCUUCCUAUAUAAAUCGGGCCUAGAAGACGAUCCUCACUUCUGCCUAUGUAAGUUGUGACUUUGUUUGUGAAUUUUUUUGUAUCAUUCUUGUUUGGUCUGACUGAUGUUGUUUUGUUUUGCAGGCCUUUGCGAGAUGUAUGUCAGCAUGGCCAAGGUAGAUAAAGAGAUCCAGAGGCUGAAGAGGCGUGAUGAGAUGGCUAAGAGCAAAAUGGCGGAGGUGCAGGAGGCCAUCCGGGAGAAAAACACCCUGCUGUUGCAAAAGGCGGCCCUAGCCAAGGAGGUGGAGGAGCUAAAGCGGUCGAAGGCCGAGGAGGUAGCUGCUGCCCGAGUCAAAGCGAUCGAGUCGUUCCGAACUUUAGAAGAGCUGAAGAGUUAGAUCAUGGACCAACUAGUGGAUGAGCAGCUUCACUUAAAGGAUAGGCUGGUUAGGUUCAACCCCUCGGUUGAGAUUAACUUUGAUACGAGUGGCGAGCCUCCUGCACCUAGUCCCACUACGGAUGCUACUGCUCUGACGCCAGAGGUAGAGCCAGCCACUGGGGAUGCCUCCUCUACUGAGUCUUGAAGGCGUUGCCUUCUUUAUGUAUUCUAGCUACCAUGUUGGAACACUUGAUGUUUAUUUUUGCUUUGUAUGAACAUGUUGCCUUGUGUGAAGCAAGGUUAUUUUGAUUUCCUAUGAUAUGAGACUUGUUGUCAUAUGGUAUCAGUUGUGCUAGCAAAAUGAUAAUUAUGUGAGUCAUAGGAAUUAGCCAGAGUCAGGCGUUUCAUUCAAAUAAGUGCCGAAAGGCAGAUGGUACAAGAGUUGGUUGAGUCAAGGCUCAAGACCGAAGUAUAAGAGAACAUAUUGUCCUAGGGUCUAGGUAUGUUUACUUAUAGUAGUACUUGAGGUGAUUAGCGUUCCAAGGAUGAGGCAACGUCUUGCCCUUGGGAUUACGAAGCUAAUAAGUGCCGGGAUGACAGAUUUUGAUAAUCUCAUAAGGACCUUCCCAUGUGGGGCCUAAGGUACCUUCAGUAGGAUUUUUGGUGGCCAAGGAAACCUUGCGCAUGACCCAGUCCCCCAUUUUGAAAGCACGGGGCUUGACUCGGGAGUCGUAGUAUUUGGCGAUGCGCUGUUUGUAUGCGACAUUGCACAUGUUGGAUUGGUUACGGAGCUCUUCAAUGAAGUCGAGGUUUAGGGCUAACUGCUCGUCAUUGGCCUUGGCAUCAUAAGUGGAGGUUCGGUAUGUGGGCUAGCCAAUCUCCACUAGUGCCACGGCUUCGGUACCAAAUGAAAGAGAGAACGGUGUUUCUCCUGUGGAGGUACAGAAGGUGGUGCGGUAGGACCAGAGAAUCUCUAGAAGUAGCUCUGGCCAGCAGCCUUUGGCUUUGUCAAGUUUGGUCUUUAGGGUCUUCUUGAUAAUUUUGUUCACGGCUUCGACCUGGCCAUUGGACUAAGGAUGGGCUGGUGAUAAGUCCAUAAAUAUACUCAUUUAUGUACUCUUUUUACUUUGGUUUUGUAAGAGAAUUAGAUUUAAAAAGGGCUUAUUACUUUAUUUUUCUGAUUUUCAGCUUUUCUGCGCUCUUAGAAGGUUUUUAAGGGAAAAUCAACUUUUCGGAGGAAUUUUAGCGCAAGACCAAUUGGAGAUGAAAGCUAACAUCUUGAAGUUCAAUCUAUGAUUUUUCUAGAAUUUUCUACCAAGCCAAUUGGUACAGUAUUGCAAGUAAAGUUAGCCCACGUGCAGACAGGACAGUUUCGUACAUGUUACGUGAAUGUGAAGAAACGGAAGCCUUUCCGAAUUUUUCAAGUUACGUGCUAUAUAUGGUUGGAAAGAUAAGACAUUUAUCUUUCUAAAAUAUAUUUUUAAUAAUUUUUCUACAAGGUCGAAGAUCCCCAAAUCGUGUGAACAUUGGGCUGAGCUGUAUUUCCCAGUGGAGUUAGGAAUUGUGAUUUUUACUUUCCUAUUUGGAUUCCUUGUUUACCAAGACUUCUUGGACGACUUUUCAGUCAAUUUUAGGGUUUAGAACUCUGAUAUAAGUGAUAUAAAAGAUGAGCCAAGGCCUGAAGAAAAGCAUUCACGUCCUAAAGAGAUCAACGGCGCAAGAGGAGAAAGCUGCGAACGAGUUCUUUCUUUUCCUUCCUUCUUUUAAUUUUCAGUUCUUAUGUAUUUAUUUUUGAGUUCAUCCAAGACCAUGUGUAACUAAUUUCUUGUUAGUUAGGGCUUAAUCUUGAAGCCCUAAAUAUGAUUUCAAUUUUAUAAACAAGUUUAAUAGAUUUUUAGUUUCUACAAGCGUGAUGAUUUCGGUUUCUCUAUGUUAUGUGAAUUCUGAUAUUUUGUUUCUUUGAGUAGCUAACUUAGAAGCAUGUAUUGGAAUUAAAUUGUUGUAGAACAUAGGUCAAUUGCCAUAUUGAAUGUGUUCUUGUUUGCAACGAAUAAUUGGGUUAAGAACUAGUUAUGAGAAAUCGAUUCUUGAAUUCCUAAUAACAAAUGCCAUGUUUUAGGGUUUCUGUGACACUCAUAUUCUCUUUGAUCUUAAUGGAUUCUUGAUUGUUAAUUUGAGUAAAUGCCAUACUAAAUUUCAAUUAAGAAUACACGUAUUGAUGUAAAUGCCAUACACUUUACAUACACUUAAGAGAGAAUCAUACAACUCGAGUCAAAUGCCAUGAUCUUGUUGUGAGUGUCGUCAUCAUAUGCUUGCUAGAAAUUGAUUAUCUAUUGUUGUUUAUGGAUUGAUUGAUUGUUUGGAGGUGGAUAGUAAGUCCUAGCUAUUGUUCUUGAUUAAUUUUAAACAAAUUUCUCUUAAACUCUAAUUUAAAUUCUCUUUUGUUUCCUUUUCCUUAUUUUGUUUGAUUCAUAAAAACAAAUCAAAACCCCCCUUGGUGUUGGCGUGUGUUUGGAAGUCCUUUGUUUUGAUUUUCAUUGCGUGACAUUGAUAAACAUCUCUUUAGAUCACAAUCUCCGUGGGAUCGACCCUUGCUUGCUUACUAUACUAUCAUUUGAUUAGUGCACUUGCAAGGUUUUAAUAUUGUUGUUAAAAUUUACCAACAGCUGGGGAGGCGAAGCAAAGACGGAUCUUGAGGUUAGAACAAAAUUGUUUGAAUUUGUAUUGUCAAAUUGCCGGCCAUUGUCUGUGACGAUGGUGUUGGGGAUGUCAAAGCGACAUAUGAUAUUUUGCCACACAAAGGUUUCGAUGUGGGUUGCAGUGAUGGUGGCUAAGGCUUCGGCUUCAGCCUAUUUGGUGAAGUAGUCUACGGUUACAACUGCAUACUUGACUUGGCCCUUGCCCUCAUGCAUCAGUCCAAUGAGGUCCAGUCCCCAUUGGGCAAAUGGCCAAGGACUGACCAUGGCUGUCAAUGGUUCAGCUGGAAGUUGUAGGAUAUUGGCAAAUCUUUGACACUUGUCACGUUUCUGGGUGAAGGCCUGGGCAUCAGCGUGGAGUGAGGGCUAGAAGUAUCCUUGGUGAAUUGCCUUAUGAGCCAGUGAGCAUGUGCCUGAGUGGUUGCCGCAGAUGCCUUCAUGAAUUUCCCGAAGGACAUAAUGACCUUCCUCUAGAGUCAGACAUCGGAGGUAGGGAAGGCUGAAACCCCGCUUGUAUAGGGAGCCGUUAAUGAUCAAGUAUCGGGCAGAACGAUAGCGAACGCGUUGUGCCUCAGCAGAAUUAGCCAGUAGUGUUUGGUUCUGCAAAAACUGAAGAAUGGGGUCCAUCCAUGUAGGGCUAUGAUCAAUGGUACAGAUGAGUGGGGCUUGUGUAUUGGGCUGGUCCAAGAAUUCGAUGUGGAUGUGGCGACCUAUGCCCUGCUCCAAGGCUGAUGCUAACCUGGCCAACACAUCAGCAUGGCUGUUCUCAGAGCGUGGCACUUGGCUUAUAAGAUGAGCGUCGAAGGUUGCAAGCAACUGUCGGGUAUGCUGGAGGUAAGCUGUCAUAGAGGCGUCCUUGACCGUGAAGUCCUGGUUGACUUGAUGGACAACGAGCAGUGAAUCGCUAAAUAUCUGAAUUUGUUUGGUGUCCAUCCUCUUGGCUAGUCGAAGGCCAACUAAGAGUGCUUCGUAUUCGGCCUCAUUGUUGGAGGUGUGGAAUUUGAAGUGGAGGGCAUACUCCAAGGCAACCUUGUCUGGGGAGAUGAGAACGAGGCCGGCCCCACACCCUUGGGCAUUGGAAGGGCCAUCCACAAAUAAAGUCCAUAGGGGCUGGGUCAGGUCUAAAGUGCCUUUGCUGGCGGCGUGGUCCUGGCUCGAAGGAAGAUUGGGUUCGGGUAUAAGCUGGGUAGCUACUGAGGCUUGGGGUUCCGUGAAUUCUAAUAAGAAGUCAGCGACUGCCUGGCCCUUUGUAGCUAGGCGAGGUUUGUAGUGUAUAUCAAACUCACCAAGUUCAAUGGCCCACUUAACCAACCUCCCAGAAGUUUCUGGUUUCUGCAACACCUGUCGGAGCGGUUGGUUGGUUAAGACAUGGAUGGUGUGAGCUUGGAAGUAUGGUAUAAGGCAUCUAGCCAAGACUACCACGGCGAAGGCCAAUUUCUCAAUGUCUAGGUACCGGACCUCGGCGUCCUGCAAUGCUUUACUAACAUAAUGCACUGGGUGCUCCGUGCUAUCCCUUAGUCGGAUGAGCAUAGAGCUAACUGCCGUAACCGAGACGGAGAGAUAAAUCAUGAGGAUGUCUCCGGGCCCAGAGGUUGACAAUAAAAGGGCCCGGCCUAUAUACUCCUUGAGCUUUCUGAAAGCCUUCUCACACUCGGCAGUCCAGGUAAUGUUGCACUUGCUACCCUUUAGUGCCUUAAAAAAUGGGGCACAGCGGUCAGUGGCCUUGGAGAUAAAUUUGGUCAAGGCUGUGACACGUCCUGUAAGGCUUUGAAUGUCCUUGACUGUCUUAGGUAUCGUCAUGUCUAAGAUGGCCUGGAUCUUCUCUGGAUUGGCCUCAAUACCCCUCUGGCUGAUCAUGAAGCCAAGGAAUUUGCCUAAAGCCACCCCGAAUGCACAUUUUGUGGGGUUAAGCCUCAUUCUAUACUGCUUCAAGAUGGUGAUCAUGGUAGAGAGGUUAGGGAUGUGCUGGUCAGCUAUGCGACUCUUGACUAGUAUGUCAUCAACGUAUACCUCCAUGGUGUUGCCAAUCAAUGGGACAAAAAGGCUGUUCACCAGACAUUGAUAAGUAGCCCCGACAUUCUUGAGGCCGAAGGGCAUCACCUUAUAGCAGUAGAGGCCACGAUCCGUAAUGAAUGAGGUGUGGGCUUGGUCCUCGGGGUGCAUGAAGAUCUGAUUGUACCCUGAGUAAGCAUCCAUGAAGCUAAGGAGGGCGUGGCUAGCUGCGGCGUCAACCAGCUAGUCAAUGCGGGGUAGGGGAAAGCUAUUCUUCGGACAGGCCCGAUUAAGGUUGGUGUAAUCUACACACAUGUGCCAGCUCUUUCUUGGUUUGCGGACCAUCACCACAUUAGCCAGCCAUGUGGGAUAGUCAACCUCCCUGAUGAAUCUGAUACUACUCAGUCUAACCACCUCCGCCCUCAUGGCCUCAUAGCAUUCGGGGUCAUAAGCGCGACAUUUCUGUCGAACGGGUCGGAUGUAGGAUUAAUGCUGAGCCCAUGGGAUAUGAUGUUUGGUGAUAUACUAGGCAUGUCAUUGUAGGACCAUGCGAAGACUUCAUAGUUGAGGUGGAGGAAGGCGAUGAGGUCAUAGCGAAGCUCUUGUGAGAGAGAGGUGCCGAUCCGAGAUGUCGUAAUGAAGAGUAACCAGCUCCAGGUCUUCCACAGGUUCGGCUUGCUGUGUGACAGACUCCUCCCUGGGGUCCUUAGGUCGUUCAGUGCCAGCUUAAGGAGGGGCUGGAGCCUUGGUUACUGCGAGGGCCUCACUCCUAUGUUGGCGAUUAGUGGAUGUGACUGCUGAAGCAUAGCAGCUUCGGGCGCCAAGUUGGUCGCCACGCACCGUGCCUAUGCCAUUAGGCGUAGGGAACUUCAGUAACAACAUAUGUGUGGAAAUAAAAGCCCUCAUUUGGGCUAAGGCGGGGCUCCCAAGGAUGACGUUGUAAGCUGUGGGACAGUCAACAAUGAGGAAGGGGGUGGUGAUCGUCGCCCGCUGGGAUGCGGCUCCAAUAGAUAUAGGGAGAUGAAUGCUUCCAAUGGGUUGGACAACAUCACUAGAGAAGCUUACGAAGGGUGUGAUGCUUCGGUCAAGUAAGUAAGAAGGGACCUGGAGCCCAUUGAAAGCGUCAGCAAACAUCACACUGACCGAGCUACCAGUGUCCACCAAGAUACGCCCAACGUCGAAGUUAGAAAUGUCCCACGGAUAAUGAGUGGGUCAUCAUGGGGGAGGAUAACACCACGCUCCUCCUCAUCGCAGAAGGUAAUGGGGGCCCAGCCUGAUUUUUGGGUCUUUGGCAAGCGUCACUGCUCAGUGCUAAAGACCUAGUGCGCAUAGGUGGAGCGGACAUAAUGUUUGAUGGAGUUGUUAGAGGUGCCAGCCAAGGUAGGACCACCACUGAUGGUGGAGAUCAUGUUGAUCUGCCGUUGGUGAGGGUUAGGUUGGGGUGGUAGGUUGUGCACAUAGUUGUCCAGCUUUCCUUCACGGAUGAGCCCUUCAAUGAUGUUGCGCAAGGAAACACAAGAUUCGGUGUCAUGGCCACUGAACUGAUGAAAGUGGCAGAAAACGCCUGUGUUUGGCAUAGGCUUGCCGGAUUGUCUCCAGGGGGGUGGCUUGGGGAUGAUAAGGGCUUCACGCACCAGGACGUUCUCAUAGGUGGUGUUGAGGGUGGUAAAGACCUCGAACCUGGGCCUCGGUGUGAAGGGAAGUGGGGCCUGAUCACUUGUCUUGGGAGAGUUGCUUCCACUAGAUUGGUGGCGGUUGUCGUGGUUGCCGUGUCUGCCACAUUUGUUAUUGCUGAAGGGAUGCUGGUAGCUAUCCUUCCUUUUUGGGUGUGGGGUACCCUAGGUACUUAGGGCGGGGGUAGAAUGCUGAGGUUGGGCUAGGGCAGGUACUGAAGCAGGUGGAGGAUUAGCAAAAGUGUUACGCGUCAGGUUGGCUGGGCCACGCUUGGAAUUGAAGUAUUCAGCCUUGGCGUGAACCGCUGCCUGCUUCAUUAGCUUUGCAUAUGUGUUCCAACUGUUGUUAUGAACCAGGUAGCGGAAGUUGGACUCCCGGAGGCCACUCUUAAAAGCCCCGAAGGUAGCGCGAUCAUCAGUCUCUGGGCAGCGGGAGUAUUUGUGACUGAAUCGGGCUGCAUACUCCUGAAGGGGUUCGUCCUCACUCUGCCGAAGCAUAUACAAGUCUUUGGCACAGUAUAGGCGAUCAGUCUGGAUCAUAAAAUGGUCCAGGAAGGUCUGCUUGAGACUAUCAAAUGAGUUGAUGGUGCGGGGGUGGAGUCUAUAGAACCAGUUUAGGGCUGCGCCGCUGAGGAUGAAAGGAAAGAGGAGCCACAUGCCUUUGUCAGUGAGGCCCUUACACCCAAGGGCAGAGUGGAAUGAGUGGUUAUGAGUGAAGGGGUCCUCCGUGCCAGUGUAGAAGGCGAUACGGAGCGGCUGGAUAUCCUUCUCCUGGUGGUAGUUGAGGAUACGUUCAGUAAAGGGCCCAGGUCGUGGCUUUUCCCAGAUGGGUUGAUGGCUUUGAUAUUGUUCACUCUCUAGACGUCGGACCUUCUCAAAGAGAAACCUCAUGGCCGGGUAGGUAUGAGGGAGAGUCUCGGGUGCUAAAGGCCUGCGGGGUGGGCAGACAGAGGCUGGGGAAUGUUCCCAUUCUUCCAACGCCUUGGUGUGGUAAGGUGGCCAGGCUUCUGAAUUAUAAAAUUCCCAGCUAUCCGAGUCCCCUACGCUUUCCUCGUCGGGUAAGUAGGUGGGCCCUGGUGGGGGGUCCAGGUGUGUCACCCGUGGGUCUUCAAAGUUGACAGGAAUAGGGAUCGGCUCUAGUUGAUGGUCCAAGAUGCGGUCCCUGCAAUCUCUGUAGAUCCUGACUGGUUCAUGAGGCCGAUCCUUCGGCGGGGGAAUGCAAAAGAGUCGCGACUAGGUUAGCUUCGGAUGAAGGUGGCCUUUACCUUUGCGGAGCCUAGAUUAGGCCGGGGCACUGUGGCUGGAAUGUACUGGCUGGUUUGGCUGGGUAUGCCCAACGUUCUGGGUAAGUUCUUGUUGGGCAUCCUGAGUGUGAGUCCUCUCCCGGUUUCACUUUAGAACACAAUAGUCAUGCUCUAGCUCAGCAUUCCUGAAAUGAAGAUGCUCGUAUUUCUCUGACAUUUUAGUAAUGCUGUCACGGAGGCGCUCCACUUCUGCCUAGAGAUUAGCAUCUCCCGAAGGUUUCCUUCGGGAAGUACCAUCACGGGGGGUAUGGUGCUGGGUAUCGUGGCUAUCCUUGGUCGGCAUAGCAGAAUGUGGGGUGAAGAAGAAGCGACGGGGCCUGAUAGGUGAAAGAGCCUGCUGGGCUAGUAGAGAAAGAGGGGAUUUAAGUGUCUAGUUCCCACAGACGGCGCCAAACUGUUGAUGCUCAAAAUGACCCGGCCAGUGUUGAGUCCAACUUAGUGAUGAGGUGUUGGAGUCUUCAGCAGAGAAGAAGGCUAAGGCCUUUGAUAAGGGGGGAACCUGUAGAAGACAAAAUGGGAGAAGUAAUCAUUAAGCUUCGGACACCGGUGUGGUGCCGGUCGAAGGCUCUUCGAUGCUUAAGUCAGCUAUAAGUGGUAACUUUGGCAGAGUAACAGUAAAUGUGAGAAAGUAGAUACUUUUUUACUUAGGUACUGUUCCCUAUUUAUAGGGGGUGAAAGUGAGAGGUUUGCACAAAGUUUCAAUGUGGGACUUUGUGCAAGUCGCCGUGGUGGCGACACAUGUCCUGGGGAUUAGGUUUGGCAAUUGGGAGCUUCGGCAUGUGUCUGGCACCUCGGAAGUCUGUCUUCCUUUGGCAAGGAAGAAGGCGUGGCUGUCUUGGUGCUAGUCGCUUUUGAGGCUGAGUAUGCUCGAUUGAUUAUGGUGUAAACAACGACCAAUAAACAUGUGUAGCGGCACCAAGCUAACUCCGCUAGUUAGCUUCAGAGGAAGGUCUCAAUGCACCCUCGUCUCCACCAACAAGCUUUAUCCCCUAACAAUUGUCUUUUCCAUGAACACUUGUCAACACUUCCCGUUUCCAGCAACAACCCAUCGAGAUCUUCAUGGUACUACCAUCCAGACGUGUUUUGCGAGUACUCUGCACAGGUAUGUACGUUUGAUUUAUAGUUUGGAAAGUGGGAACUGAAAUGGGUUUUGAACUCUUUUACAUUGAAAACUACGAUCGGUAUUAUUUUUGUGUCAUAAUGUAACUGGUUGAAUUUGUCGAAUUUGAAGUUGUAAAUGAAUCUAAAUUUAAUCGUUGGUAUUACUUUAAAUAAUCGUAUAUUAUUUGAAUCGUGAUUAUUAAUCUAAGAAAUACGUGUGGCUUGAUCUCACACCAAGGGGUACGUAGGUAGCCUGGGGUCACCUAGGUGCAGCCGUAACUUAAAUUAUUACUUUUGUUGAGGUUGGUUUUGAAUAAUUCCCUUACGAUUUUCUGUUUUGCUCCCCUAGGCAGUAGCUUGAUCUGAGUCGAGCAAUCGAGCCAAGAACUGUACUUUCGUGCCCUAAACUUCUGUAGCGCAUUUCUAUUUGUUUAAUUUCCGUUAAACUUCAUUUCGAUUGUAAAUUGCUCUGUUAUAGCCCAUACAGGGUUGGAUUUAAGGCCGGAGGCGUAUUAUGUAAAUUUUAUGCUUUUACAUUGUGCGUGCUGCCAGUUGGACUAUGUUUACUAUGUUUCAAUAGGUUGAAAUUGUGAGAAAAAUCCGUUUUUCAAGGGAGACUUAGCCGAAAUUUCGGUACAAAGUCUCAAGCCUCUUUUCCUUUGUUUUCAAAGAAGAGGAUGUUGUUAGUAAGUGGGCCCAGCAUCGGUUGGAUGUUGGAAAAAUCACAAGGUUCAUUACUAAUUUCGAGGAAUUCGAGGAGGGUCCUGUCAAUUGCCGCUGCCUAUAUUGCUCUCCUCUCUUCAUAUUUUCUCCCCACGACUCCGGUCACCCGAUUCACACCAUACAUACAUCUCCGUACCUUUUUUAGCUAUUGUUUCUCCAAAAUUCAAUCGAACUAACUUAGGCAACGGAGGGCCUUUGGCCAACACCCCCCAGGUAUUGUCUAUUUACUCCGGUCUUUUUUAGAGGAAUCAAGGAGGAGAGAGAAAGAAGUUCAAAGGGGAAAGAAUCUAGAAGCGAAUAUUCUCCCAAGAGAUUAUUUGCACAAACAAUUAGCAUAGAGCUUCCUAUGGACUUCAAGUAACCAAUGAUUUGACUUUAUGAUUGAGCUUAUGACCCAGUUGAUUUUCUAAAUGAUUUUUGAUACUAAAUGAAUGUAAAGGAUGCUAAAGACCCCACGAAGUGUCGAGCUUUCCCUUUUUCUCUUGGAAGGAUCCACUAAGGAUGGUUCAAAUCCUUGAAACUUGAUUCCAUUAGCUUAUUUGAUCCAACUUAACCAAAGUUUCAUCAACCAGUUUCUUUCUGCAUCAAAUAAGAGGCACCCAACCAAGUAUCUCUUGAGAAUUAAGUAAGACCGUAAUGAAAUGUUAUGAGAGUACAUCAGCCGUUUCAACCAAGAAGUAAUCAGUUUCCCAAGCUGCUUCAAGGACACAUCCUAUACAAGUCUUCUGGCUGGAUUUCGGAAAGGACCUUUCCUAUUCCAUGUCAAAACAAUAAACACCUAAGAGUUAUGAAGACUUUGUGUCUGAGGCGUAUUGUCAUGUCAUUGUUGAUGGUGCAAGAAGAAAGCAUGAAAAAUUAUAAAGGAAAAACAAGCACUAACCCUAAAAUUAAUGAAUUGUAAUCCACUAGAAAAGAUAGAAAAUCUUAAUAGUAUUAUUAGCAAUAUAAAUUAACUUAAGAAUAAAAACUUCAUAAAGCUGUUUUAAGGAAAAAAAAAAUUUCUAAAAUCAUAAGAAAUCCUAGAUUUUGAAAUAUUCAUAAAACUUAUCUAAUAAGAAAAUAAUAAAAUCCUAAUAAGAAAAUGAUGUUAGGUGAAACAAAUCCUAACUUAUUCUAUACAUAUAAAAUAAUAAAGUAAAUUAAAUAUAAUUCUUCCCAAAAAAUUAUUUUUGCUUCAAAGCUAAUCAAGCAACCUAAAAAUCUCAACGCCUUCUUUCUAUACACCAUAUGUAAUACCUCGACCCAAUUUAAUUGUCUUUAUCUAAUUUUUAUUCAAGAAUUUACAAUUUUGCCCUUGGGGGUAGGUCAAUUUAGUCACUUUUUAAUCUGGAAGGUUUUUGGGGAAAUGAGUGGCACCAUUGGGUAGAGCUCUCUCUCACGAGUUCAUAGACACGUAGUGGGCUCAAAUCGGAGUUUUAACGAAGAAGUUGUGAUAUACGGAAGUGCAGUGGCAGAACCGUAAAUUUUGCAAAGUCAUAUAUAUUUUUUUUUAAAUCUGGGCAAUUUUGCAAAGUAAUUUUUUUUUUUUCAAAAAAAAAAAAAUUGGGUAGCUUCUCUCUCUCUCUCUCUCUCACACACACAUUUCUCUCCUAUCAUUCGUGAUGCACUUUCUCUCCUCUCUCUCUCUCUUCUGCUGCGAUGCCGCCACUUUAGUGGGCGAAUUCGUUGUAGUUCGGUGACCAAAUUCCCCAAAACUACUUCCAAAAUUCUCACAUCUCUCUCCUCUACCCAACCCAUACCUUUUCCUAGCUCAAAAACCUGACGUUUAGCGACUGUAACAAUUUGAAUUUUUUGUAGAUUUAUUUCGGCGGCUGUUUCCGUCAACCAAGGUACUUUUACUUCGCAUAUUCCAGAGGAAGAGCCCUCUCAGGAUUGAGUAGCGUGGACUUGUUGUGAGUGGACAUUGUUUUAAAUGAGCAUUAUUUUUCCAAUAUGGAAUUGCAUGCAUAAAUGAGAUUUGAUUUAGAACUUGGCUUAUUUGGUUUACAGGGAUUUUAUAUGUUUUGACUAUGAUUUUAUCAGAAUGUGGCAUAGGUUUUUCAAGAAUUAUUAUUGUUAUUAUGGUCAUUAUUAAAGUAUAUGGAUUGUCUUGCAUAUUUAUAUAAUUUGGAUUAUUUUGAUUAUUGAGUUUAUGAAGUUAUAAUAUUGUUUAUUUUGUGGAUUAUAGUGCUUUAUGGAAUUAUUGGAGUUUAUUUUGACAUUUGGAAUUUGUGAAUAUUUUGGGUUAUGAAAUUUAUGCUUUUGAGAGUUUGAUAUCUAUAUUACGUAUAAAUAUUGGGUAUUGAGUUAUUGACGCUAUUAUUAUCCGGAAGUCUAUGUAUAUGGGCUUGGGUACAUUGGGAUUAUUUGGGAAUUGGUUAUGGUUAGACUUAUGGUACAUGAGUUGGGAUGUAGGAUAUGUUAUAUUGGAGUGUUGAUAGCACCACCCUAUGUACCUCCCUGGCACUUAACUACUUGGAUAUGGAUACUUGGAUAUGUCGGAACCCGGACACCAUUUACGAGGUGUUUCGCAGGCCCUUGGCCAGGUAGUCUACGCCCGUAGGACUUAGUUCAGCUGCACGAGUAUUCAGGAUUUUGCUAUGUGUGUUUGGGAGCCCAGUCCCCCAAUUGGACAGCUCGUCCCUAGCCACAUGGUUAUUGAGGAUUCUUCCAUGUGGUUUAGUCAAACAAUCCCCCGGUUGGAUUGUUUCCCUGAUUCAAGUUUGAUAGUGGUCAUACCUAUAUGUAUACUUAUAUAUAUAUAUAUAUCAGAAGGGUGUAGAACUAGUGAUGACAUACUCAUAAUAAAUGGGAAUGAAAUAAAUAAUAAGAAAAAAACAGUGCAUAAAAUUAAUGAAACUUAAAUGAAAAUAAGAAAAUUGCAAACUUACAGAAAAUCUUGACUGAAAGAUUUUAUUGAUAGAAAGUAGCGCUCACAUUUUACAGAUAAAGUUUUCCUUGAAGGUGAUUCAGAGAAAACUUUGAAACUUUGAAACUAAAAAUUACAUUCUGAGUACAACUGAGGCCAGAGCCUCUAUAUAAAGAGCCAAAAAAGUGUCGGCAACAUUGGAUGCUUGGAAUUUUUACUGUUGGAGCAUGGGUCUUCUGCUUUUGCUUUAACUAGAGCUUUAGGACUUGACUGUCUGGGUAAUCUGCCAUCUGAACUUUUGUGUGGAAUCUUUUUUACUUGAUGGAUUUUGAGUAUGACUGGAGGAUGAGGCUUGAGUGGAGUGAGACUUUGGGGAAGCAUCAUCAUCAUCAUCAUUCAUUUGUGAGGCUUGGAUCAUUAAUUGUCUGGCUAAUUCCUUUAAUUUUGAUUUGGAUCUUCUUUCGAUUGGAAAGGAAGAGUGAGAUGUACCAGACGCGGAAGGCUUCUGGGGAGCUUUGACUGGGGGAAACUCAUUUUUGACUUGUUCAAUAAUUCUUUCCGUCUUGAAUUUAUCCCACCAUUUGAUGGAGAAUUUUCUGGAGAGAAUACGUGAUUCCCAGUGACUUGAUAGGACCAUUGUAGAAUCCAGGGAACUUUGUAUUUGGCAAUGAAAAUUAAAGACUUUGGAAAAAAUUGACUUUCUUGCAUAAAUUUAUACUUACUAGAAAAGUACUUGACUGAUUCUUUGGGAUUUAGGGGAAGAAUAUCAAUAGUUGGACCAUGUCGCUUUUGAAUUUACUAUUGAAAUUUACAAAUCAUGAAUGACUAAAAUCUUUGGUUUGAUGGAGGAAAAUGAUGUGCCAAGCUUCAAUGUAAUCAUGGUAAUUAUAUUGGAGACUGGAAUUAAGUGUCUUGAAAGAGUAGGGGUGAUCGCCCCUUUCAGAUUGACUGAGAAUGUUUUUGAUAUGCAUGGAAUGAUAGAGAAUGAUAUUUGGAUAAUUUCUAUCUUUGAUUGGCCUGAUUUCUAAAGUCUGGGUUUCAAGAAGAAUAUCACGGUAGUAUUUGAAUGACUUAAAAGGAUGUGGAGGUAUGUAAUGGAAAUUGGGAGGGAAAUAGGCUUUGGCUAUUUGACUGGAUUGGUCAAAUGGUUAAAGCAUGGUUCAAUAAAGAAGAGGGUAUGACUGCUUUUGGGGAAAUAAGGAGAAGAUUUGGUAUGACUAAUUGGGGAGGAAGCAGGAGAGAGGGUUAAGACUUGGAAUGGAUCAUAACUAGAGAUGAGAGCUGACUGGUAAUUAGGUCGUAUGUUACUGACUGUGGAUCCUAAAGUGGCAUACCUAUUUGAUACUUGAAUGGGAGAAAAUCUUGGGUAAGGGAUGACUUGGGAAGGUUGCUCUGUUUUUACUGGAGUCAUUGAUGCUGGGAGUUGUCUGACUAGUUGCUUGCCUUGCUGUUUUGUUUGUUUUUCUACCAUUACUUAUCUUGAAGAAAUUCUCUAGUAAGGAAAUAUGGGAUAGAAUUCUCACUUCCUCUCAAAUAUUCAAUAUCAAAAUCAAAAAUACUUAAAAGAGCUUGCCAACGUGCAAAAAUCUGUUUUGAUGCAAUAUUUUGAACGUCUUUUUUCUAAAACAUGUUUUGCACUUUUACAAUUGACUCUGACUAAAAUUUUUUGAUUUAAUAAAUCAUCUUGAAAUUUUGGGAUGCAUAAUACUAUAGAUAGAAUUUCUUUUUUAAUAGUACUGUACUUAUACUGUGACUAUAUCCAAAUUCUAGAAUGGAAUCGAAUGAUUUGCUCUGUUUGGUGGGGAUUGACUCUUUGUUUUAGGAUUCCUCCAUAACCGUUGUCUGAGGCAUCAGUUUCAAAAAUUUUGAAGGAAUUGACUAAAGGAAUACCAAGACAGGGUAGUGUUUUGACAUGGACUUUGAUCUAUUUGACAAUUUCUGUAUGAAUAGAGAUCCAAGGAGGAGGAUUACUUUGGAGUCUGUCAAAUAGGGGUUUACAUUGCUUUCGCAGAUUUUGAUAGAAAUCAUAGACAUAAUUAAGAGAUCUCAUAAACCAUUGGAGUUGACUUUUGUCAAGAAUUUGAUCUAAAAAUUUAUCAGCAAACUGGAUGACUCGAUUAAUUGGACUGAUUUGUGACUGACAAAUAUUAAAACCAAGAAAUCUAAUGUUGGUUUGGAAUAGCUUGAUCUUUUUAGCUGAGACAACUAAACCAUUUUUCUUGACUAUGUGAAGGAAUUUAUACAGAUUUUUCCAAUGUUGCUCUAAUGACUGGGAAAAAAUAAGGACAUUAUCAAUAUAAACUAUGGAGAAAUCACUGAAAUGGUUGAAUAUUUCAUUCAUUAUAUUCUGGAAUUCAUUGGGCGCAUUUUUUAGACCAAAAGGCAUGACAUUCCACUCAUAAUGACUGAAUGAGGUUACAAAAGCGGUUUUAUAUUUAUCUGACUCUUGGAUUUGAAUUUGCCAAAAUCCACUCUUCAUAUAAAACUUAAAGAAAAUGACUACUUUGUCUAAUCUAUUGAUUAAAUCUCUCUUAUUGGGGAUUGGAUAUUUAAUCCAUUCUAAUAUUGUCUUAAGGGGUUUAUAAUUUUUGAUAGAACUUCGCCGGCCUUGUUCUCUCUCCCCGACCACCAAACCAGACGUGUGAGGUAUGGUUUCACACCUAUUUUUCGUGCUCUAGCUGAUGGUUGGGAAGGAUUUGAUCGAUUUCUAGCCUAGGUGGUUCGAUUUGUAACUCAAAGUUUGGCUAGAUUUCAGGUUGAAAUUCUGGCCACUUCCAGCCAUUUUUCGGGGUAGGUCCAAGAACAAAAGUGGCUCCAAUUGAUGUCCUGAACCUAGGGUAGGAAGCUUGGCUUUUAAUUUUGAGAAUUUUCCGGUGAUCAUUAUCGCUUUGGGCACAGUAGAAAAGGGGCAUUGUGUCCCGAUGCGACCUUUAGUUGUCACGAGUACGUAGGUAUGUUCGGAUUCCAAUUUGGAUACCGUUUGAGCUUCAAACGAAUUUCGCAUAUUGUGCGAUUUUUGGGUUCGAUAGGUUUGGAUCGAACUCAAAUUCAUAUAUGUUGUACCUCCGUAUAGGAUUCGACAGAUCGUGAAUCAAAGUCCCGGAUACCUCAAAAUCGCGAAACCUAGGGCAAGAUAAAUUGUAGUUGUCCGAUCGUGUGAUCGUGAUCAAUCCGACAGUUUGAUUUGGACCAAACUUGUAGGGUAGGUUCAGAAGAAUGCGUUGAACCUACAGAGACUCCUGGAAUUGUGAUCGGAGGUCGUGGGCCUCGCUGGCCAAGUUUAGGCGGUUUGCCCUUUCGGUUGACCGUGAGUCUUCCAACGCAGUUAUAUCCUUUGAGAAGUGUUAAAAUGACCAUGUAAACGAGUCCUGACCGAGACUGAGUUAUCUGGGUCAUGUUACGAAUUGAGUAUAGAUAGUUAUAUAUAGAUUGCUAAUGUACCCAGUAGUUGGAAAUGAUGAAUUAUGGCCCUUGGUAUUUAUUAGAAAGAUGAUAUAAAGGUUGGGAAAUGGAUUGUAAAAUAAAAGGAAAGUAUUGAUAUAAGUUUGGGAUAUGGUUUUUCAAACCCACCACAAGGGUACCCCCUAAUUUCUUUGAAACAAUGUCAUUUAUAAAUAAUGCCCCAAGUGUUUUGGGAACUCUUGAAUCGUGCCGAGCAAGCAAUGCAGCUUAGGCUGACCAAAGGUCCCCUGAGGCCUGCGAGAAUUGCGGCUCGGAUAGAAAUGGUAUCUUUGAGGCCUGCGAGGAUUGCGACUCGGAUAGAAAUGGUAUCUCCGAGGCCUGCGAGGAUUAUGGCUAGAGUAAACUUGGUGUCUCCAAGGCCUAUGAGGAUGGAAUUGGCGGUAUUAAUGGAAUUGACGGAUCAGGAAUGAGGGUACGCCUGGAUGGAAAGAAUUUCAAUUUUGAGAUGCUCUUAAACUAAAAUAGAGGGAGUUUAGUGUAUGGCUUAUCUAUAAUCAGUAUAUGAUUGUUACGAGUAUUGGGAAGUUCCAAAGUAUUGUUUUAGAGUUGUGAAUAUGAUUGAGUACUUCACGCACAUGAGAAUUCAGUUUGAUUUACAAAACACAUGGCAAUAUGAUGAAUGAAUAAGAUAUUCAAGUACAUUAUUAAAGGGAAAGAACUAGGUGUGGCUUGAUCCCUCAGUAAGGGUAUGUAGGCAGACUAAUGUUACAAGGUGCAGCCAUGAGUUGGAGUGUUUGGGAUUGCUAGUGUACUAUUGAUGUUCUGAAAGUUGAGAUGAAUUUUAUUAGCAUAAUGAUUUAUUUGAUUUGUUGAGGCCUAAGGCCAGAAUGAUAUGAUGCUUGAUUGCUUGGAUAUAAUUUAAUGCAUGUUGAACGAUUGGGAUAUAUAAAUGUUUGUUGAUAGGUGGAAACUUUUGGGAAACGAGCAAGUUAUAGGGGAGACUCUGCCGAAUUUUCGGUAGAAGUCAAAUUUGAAGAAAAUUUGGUUUUUAGUUAGAAUGGCAUUUGGGUCAUUUGUGCCCGGCAUCCGUCGGGUGUCGGACACGCUCAGGACAGGAACAAGGUGACUUGCUUUUACGGAUUAUUCCUUUGUGAAGUAGCUCUGCAAUUUCCUUUUUGCAAAAUUCCAUGACUUCUUGACUCAUUUGGAUUGGUCUUGCUUUAGUAGGAAAGUUUUUUUCCACAUGUUGUUUUCUAUGCCAAAAGGCAUUAGGUAGGUCGGAAAAAAUUUCUUGUUUUAGUUUAUCUUCAAAAUUUGAAUUUGUGACUGCAAGGACUUAUCAGUAAGCUGCUGUUCAAUUCUUCUGAAUUUAACUUCUUCUUUAAGAAAAUCUAAUUGUUUACUUUUAUUCUGGAUUAUCUUGACUGUUUUUGAAAUUACAUUUUCUAUAAAGCUUUUAAAUUAUGUAAUUCUGGUUUGGUUAAAAAUUCAAAAUUGACUUUUUCUCCCAUGUGGGUAGAUGUGACUCCAUUGUAUUCAACUUGAAAAGGGUAUAAGAGGGCUAUGAAAGGUAGAUAGAGGAUGACUUCAUCUGUGAUAUUUUUUACUAAAACCAAAGAAGUUUUAAAACAUAUCUUAUUUUGACAGACAUAGGCUUUUGGGAUUUCAUAAUCCAACUGAAAUGGUUUACUUGAGGUAGUGCCUAAUGUUUCUUGGCCUUUUGGAAUAUUUGGUGGGGAUUAAACCUUCUCGUAUACAAUUAAGGUCGGCUCCUGAAUAAAGAAGAGCUACUGUGUUUAACUCGAAUUUUUUAAUAUAAAAAUUGUUACUUUAGAGUAUCAUUUUCUAAAAUUUAUUUGUUUUAUUAAAUUAAUGGCUUUAUCAUUGUUUGAAGGUUCAUCAUAUGAAUUAAUGGCUUUAUCAUUGUUUGAAGGUUCAUCAUAUGAAUUUGUUGGACUUUCAGAUUGACUCUUAGUAUUAGAAUUCCUUUUUUCCAUUAAAUUAAUCAAAUCGUGUUUAAUUUCGAAAUUUUCAUUUUGUAACUCGUGACUCAUUUGUUUUAACUCUAUUAUCUCUUUUUUGACCAUUUUUACUUCCAGCUGUAAAUCCUGUAAAGUUACUUCUUUUCUUUUCUUGAAUUUUUCCAAGGUAGUAUUUAGACUUAUUUUUGGGGAAAUGUGUUGACUCGUCUCUUCUUGACCAAUGACUUUUCUUAAUUUCUUUAAAUAUUCAGAUUUUAAUUCUGAAUUUUCUACUUUACUGAUUAAAUCAAUUAAUAAUUCUUCUUGCUCUCCUUGUUUUGUGAGGACUUGUAUUGACUUAGUGAGGACAUUACAACACUUAUCUUUACAACCAAAUUAGACUUUUGGGGAACUUAAUUGGGAAUUUGAGGAACUAUAAUCUACUGAGCUCGUUAUUGUGGUUUCAACUUCACUAGACUCAGAGUUUCUUAAUUCUAAUACCUUAAUUAAUUGGGCUUUUUCUUAAUCGGUGAUUUUUAAUUGCUUUAUUGUGUCUUUUACUUUACAUUCAUUAGCAUAAUGACCAUGUUUUUUACACUUCCAGCAUUCCACUUUCUUUUUAUCUGUAUUUUUCUUAAAGUUACUUUUCUUGUCUUUUCUGGGGGGGUUUUUGACCAGUUUUUUCAUGGGUUAAAUUUUCUUUUACCAUAAAAUUCAUCAUUAUGUCUAAAGGAUUGUUUCCUACGUGAGUAAUGACUAUGUUUACUAGUUUGUCGGUCAUUGUACCUAGUCUUGACCUUUCUAGAUGGGGGAAUAGAUGCUAGGCCAUAUUGUUCACAAAAGUCUCCUAGUUCAUAUUUGGCUGAAUUUCUUUAUGACUGAAUUUGUUUACCUAUUUUCAUGUCAACACACUUUUUCAUUCCUACUUGGUUAAUUGUAUUAAUAAUAUUUCCAUAAGUUAAAUUAUCGAAAUCUAUGUGACCCUAAUCAUAACUUAGGACUGUUCAUAUUUAGUGAGCAAACAAAUUAGGAAGGCCGUUACUAAAUUUUUUUUCCAAAACAGUUGGUUACUAUCAUCUCUUAACAUGACGUCGACUCUAGAAAUAAAGACAUCUUUAUACCAUCUAAAAUCACUUAAUUUGGGACAUGUGAGAUUACUAAGUUGAUCGUGAAUUUUGACUGUAGUGUGGUGUUCCUAUGAAAUGUUCAAUUAUGGUAUAUAAUAAAGUAUUGACUCCGUCUUCUAUGCAUGUUCCUAAGCGUGCAUCAAAAAUAGGGAGAUCUUCUUCAUUCAGUUUGAUUGCAUAUGUGAUUUGUCAUUUUCACUCUUUAGUUAAAUGUUUAUCCCACCAAGAGUGUAAGGUUCCAGUGAAUCCUGUUUCUAAAAAGGGAACAAUUUCUGACUGUCUUAAAUUGUGAUUGGUUAUAUAACUAUUAGCUACCAUAGACAUAUGUUGAAGUUUAUUUAGGAUUUCUUGUUCGGAAAGGCCAUCAAUAUUCUAUUCGUAUAGUUUAUCGGAUGAGAUUGAGAAUUGACUUUGAUAAUUUCUUUCUUCAAACUGAAUGUCUGGAGGGGUUGGUUUGGGAUGCCAAUUUUUUGUUAGACUAGUAGGAUUGACUUUGUUCCUUAAUCUAUUAAGCUUGAAAUCAUUAUCUAUUUCCAAACUAUUAAAGGCUUUCUCAAUUUUUGAUAUAUUACUAGAAUUUGUUUCAUUACUGGUUAUAGACUCGGUUUCAGAGGUAUUGACUAAAAUGGAGGACUCAAGGACUUUGAGACCAGAAACUUCAGGUUUUUCUUUAAUUGGGGUUAAUUGUUUAAGCAUUUCUUCAAUCUUUUCCAUUGUGGGACUCGACUUGAGAGUGGGGCUUGACUUUAGGUCUUGGAAUUUUACUAAAGGUUUUUCUUUUUGAGACUAAAGGGAUAUUUGUUGAGGGACUAUUUUGUCAAUUUUUGUUUCUAUUUUAUCUAAUUGUUUUCCAAUGACUAUUAGACUCUAGUUUGUAUAAUUAUUUUGCUCAAUUAUUUUCUUGUCAUUUUGUUCUGGAAUUUUGAAAGGACUUGCCUGGAGUUUAGUAUUUUUAUGGAUGGGUGAUAACUAUAGUUUCAGUAGGAGGAUGACUGGCUAGAACUUCGGUGUUAUCUUCUCUUUUCCAUUUUUCUUGGGUUAAAGUUUUUAUCUCUUUUGACAUGUAGUGACUUUCAACAUAAUCAAGAACAAAAAACUUAUGACUUGGUAUUUUUCAUAAAAUUUUUCCAUUCAUUAAAGAUUUGCUAGCAUUGGACUUUAUUUGGGUAGGCUGUGUGGUAGUUAUUUCUUUGUUCCAGAUUCUGAGGCAUUUAAAUGACUAUCUAAAAUUUUCCAAUGAAUUUUGAAUUCUUUGUUGAGGGUUCGUAACUGAUUGUCUGUGGGAAUGGCUUCGGCUUCAAAAUCAGUUUGUGUGGGGGAAUCUGAUUUUUUGUCUUCUUUCACUGGUUUCUUACCAUAAUAAGGAUGGUUGACUUGGGAAGUUUUUCUUAAAGAUUUUCUAACUUUAAAUCAAUCAACGUUUUUUCAAACUCUAGGUCUCUUUCUAGAGUAGAGGAGGAAGCUGCAAAGGAAUGUCAGGCAGGCAUAUAUCUCAAGGAUUGACUAGGUGUUGGGAGUGGUUGUAUUUGGACUAAGGACUUGUGAGGCUGGUUUCCAAAAUUUAUUUUUACUGUACCAUCUAAAUAUUGUUGGAUAUAAUCUAGAUUAUUCAAAUUAUGUUGAAUAGGAGCGGGUUGAUUUUCUAUUAUUAAUGUCAAAUCUAGGGGUAAGGCUACUUCUAACCACUUAAUUGUAUAGGGAACUCUUAUAUUAGUAUCAGCUUUACUACUUUGAAUAAGCAAGGUUUAGUCUUUUGGGCUUUUAUUAAGAGUUUGGAAAUUCAUAUUAGUUCUUGUGACUUUAUAAUAAAUUCUAUAGAGUUCUCCAUACAAUUAAGGAAUUAGUUCCUCUGGUACAUCUCACUCUUCCCUCCCAAUCGAAGGAAGAUCCAAAUCAGAAUUAAAGGAAUUAGCCAGGCAAUUAAUGAUCCAAGCCUGACAAAUGAAUGAUGAUAAUGAUGAUGAUGCUUCCCCAAAGUCUCACUCCACUUAAGCCUCAUCCUCUAGUCAGACUCAAAAUCCAUCAAGUCACAAAGAUUCAACACAAAAGUUCAGAUGGGCAGAUUACCCAGACAGUCAAGAUACUUAUGAUCUCAAUGAAGACUAGUAAAAGCAGGAAAGCAUAUGUAAAAGAAAGCAAAAGCAAAACUUAGCAUGAUUCCAAGCCCCGUGCCUCCACAGUUAUAUUCCCUGAAAAAGAAGAAAGGAAAAGGUGAAGUCAAGUCCUAAAGCUCCAGUUAAAGCAAAAGCAGAAGACCUGUGCUCCAACAGUAAAAAUUCCAAGCAUCCAAUGUUGCCAGCACUUUUUUGGCUCUUUAUAUAGAGGCUCUGUCCUCAGUUGUAGUCAGAAUGUAAUUUUUAGUUUUCUCAGUUUCAAAGUUUUCUCCGAAUCACUUUCAAAGAAAACUCUAUUUGUAAAAUAUGAGUGCUACUAUCAUUCAAUAAAAUCUUUCAGUCAAGAUUUUCUAUAAGUAUUUUCAUUUACACAUUACUUUUAAUUUUGCAUUUAUUUUAAAUUAUUUCAUUAUGCAUUAUUAUUCUCUCUGCCUCUAGAUCCCUUUUGGUAUCAGAGCCGUAAGUGUUGAAGAGUCAUUCUAAUUCUGCUUCUCUGUUUAAAGCUUUGCUAUUCAAUUAUGUAACCCUUUCAGUGUCUUCCUGUAUACUGUUCAUUUUAUCUCAACCCAAACAAUGAGUCCUAGAUUCCAAACAAUAAGUCCCAGGGAGAGGCAUGAGCGGAUGCGACAUGAACAGAGAGAGAGAAAACCCUUCAAUCUUCAGGAAUCCUUGAACCUGUUAUAGGAUUAUUAGCUUCCCUUUUUACCCUUUGUAAGAAAACAAAUAAUCUUUGUCCAGAUGAGUCACCUUUUUAGAACAAACUCUUGUAACAGUAGCAAUUUUAGAGCCAGUAUUAGUAAACUCCCAGAAAUAGUCAAUGAAGAACAAAUAGAAUACGAAACUAGUAAUGAAAUUGAUUAUAAAGAUUGGAACAUCCCUAAGAUCCCUAGUACAGAAAUUUACAAGAAGAAAUGGUCACUUUCAAGUUUCAAAAGUACAACCCAUGUAAAAACUAUUGAAAUAAAAAGUCAACGUGAAUAUUUCUUUCCUAGUAUAAAAGAUUGACAGCUACAAUUUAGCAUUCCUAUUCUGGUUAACCACUGAUUCGUAGGAUCUAGAUACAAGGAGAAUUGUAGGUUCAUCUCCUAUAUAUGUUGCUAUACAUUUAGAAUUGUAUAUUGUACAAAUAUAUGAAAUACCAGUUUCUUUACAUGGUACCAGAGCCUCCCUUUUUUCCUUCACCAUAAACAUCAAUGGCACCAGACAACGAUGCCAAACCAGUUGACAGAGAGAAGUCCUCAUCCACAACCGAUAGAGAUGCAUAUGACUCUACCGAUCCCUACUGCAUACACCACUCAGAUCAUCCCAGCAUGGUAUUGGCUUCCAUGCCACUGACCGGUGAUAACUACAACACUUGGAGUUGUAAAGUACGAAUUUCCUUGAGUGCGAAAAACAAAACAGGCUUUAUUGAUGGUCCAUUGUGAAGCCAUCCCUCACCAAAAAACCUAUAGAGUAUCAACGAUGGCAGAGGUGUAACGACAUGAUCUUGUCGUGGAUUCUCAAUUCUUUGGAUCCUGACCUUGCUAAUAGUGUUAUUUAUGCUGAGACAGCUCAUGAAGUCUGGACUGAUUUAAAAGAACGAUUUUCACAGAGCAACGCUCCUAGGAUUUUUCAGAUUCAACGCAGCAUAGCGACACAUACGCAAGAUCAGAUGCCUCUGGCAACAUAUUAUUCAAAACUAAAGAGCUAUUGGGACGAACUCGGUUCCUACAAUGAUACAAAAGUUUGCUCCUGUGGAGCAAAGAAGUCGUUGGCCGAGCGCGAGGAACAACAACGCUUGAUGCAAUUUUUGAUGGGACUAAAUGAAUCCUAUGCAGCGAUCCGAGGGCAGAUUCUCCUUAUGGAUCCCUUGCCAUCAGUUCGAAGGGCAUAUUCCCUACUUUCACAGGAAGAGAAACAACAUGAAAUCACCACAACCCAUGCAAAUACAGAAAGCAUGGCCAUGUUAAGUAUCCACAAUAAGAAAUGGGGUUCUUCUAAACCCGCUUAUCAAUUCCGCUCACAACAAGGAUAUAAUUCACAACAAGGAAAGAACUCACAACUUCGUUCCUCUUUUUGAGGGAGCCAAAAAGAGACUCGACGUUGCACUCAUUGCAAUGGAGAUACUUACACCGUUGAUACUUGCUAUUAUCUCAAAGGGUUCCCUCCAGGACAUACGUGGCACAACAAAGAAGUCUCUCUGCCUGAUAAAGGAAGCAGUUCACACCAAGGAAACCAAAGGAAGUCACAUGCUGCCAAUAAUGUCCAAAACUCAGAUUCACAAGUUCAUAAUCUCCAGUCCAUCGCGCCCCACCUUACACUAGACCAAUGCCAACAAAUUAUGGGCGCCGUAGGUAAAGAAGAUGUUUCACAAACCCAAGUAAAUUUUGCAGGUCUGUCUUCUCCUUCUUGUUUAUUUUCUCAAAAGCAAUCCAAUUUAUCGCAUGCUUGGGUAAUUGAUAGUGGCACUACCGACCAUAUCACUAAUUCACAUGACUUUCUAACUGACACGUCUCCAUCCUCCAUGUCCCCAGUAGGAUUGCCCACAGGGGCUAAAGCACCCAUAAAAUCCACUGGCAAAAUCACUUUUGAUGUUAAUUUGUGUCUAACUGAUGUUCUUUGUGUUCCAUCCUUUAAUGUUAAUUUGAUGUCAGUUCCCAAACUCACAGAGUCACUUAAUUGUUGUGUUGUGUUCUUUCCCAAUUUUUGUUAUAUACAGGACUUGGUUAUGAAGAAGAUGAUUGGAUUGGGUAGGCGGCAUGGCAACCUAUACUAUUUUGAUUCAAACUAUAUUUCUCAGAACCCACCAUCCUCCUCACACCAUGUGUUAUCUCGACAAAAUCUUUGGCACCUGCGGUUAGGACAUCCAUUAGAUGCCCGCCUUCGUAUCUUGGCUCAACAUGAAUAUGAUAUUUUCUUUUCCCAGCACUCCUGUGAUUUUUUCCCAUUGGCUAAACAAACUAGACUCCCAUUUACUUUAAGUUCCAUUUCAAGUAUUGGUUCUUUUGAUUUAAUUCAUUGUGACAUCUGGGGUCCACAUAAAAUUCCUUCUCAUUCUGGGGCAAGAUAUUUUUUGACUAUUGUUGACGAUUAUACAAGGUGCACAUGGGUUCAUUUAAUGCAAUAUAAAUCUGAUACUCAAGGUCUUCUUAAAUCCUUCUUUGCCUUUGUUUCUACUCAAUUUAACAAAACAAUAAAAGGUAUUCGUGUCGAUAAUGGUGGUGAGUUUUCUUCUCUAAAAAUGUUUUUGGCAGAUCUUGGUGUCGUUUACCAACAUUCCUGCGUCUCAACACCUCAACAAAAUGGGGUUGUGGAACGUAAACACCGACACCUUCUAGAGAUGGCUCGAGCCUUGCGAUUCCAUGCACAUCUCCUUCUUAAUUUUUGGGGAGAAUGCGUACUCACUGCUGCAUAUCUGAUUAAUCGUCUCCCCACUCCACUUUUAACUGGUAAAACUCCCUAUGAGCUUUUAUUUAACCGUCCACCCAUUUGUUAACAUCUUCGCAUUUUUGGUUGUCUUUGUUAUGCAACUAAUUUACACCCUUCUCAUAAAUUUGAUAAACGGGCACGUAAAUGUAUUUUCGUGGGUUAUCCUUUUGGUCAAAAGGCUUAUCGUGUUUAUGACUUAGAGAUCAAAAAGUUUUUCAGUAGCCGAGAUGUUAUUUUUCAUGAAAAUGUCUUUCCUUUUGCUAAUCAACAUGAUGUACCUACUAUCCCUGUCUUGCCUUUAACCCCCAAUGAUUAUGAUUAUGAGCCUAUCCACAUAUCAGACCCACUACCCACUUCAUCUUCCCAGUUAAAUCCACCAACCAAACUAGAUAUGCAUCCACCUAGCCCAAACACACACUCUGGCACACCUACACUACCUCUUCCAAAUACACCACCACCUAGUCCACGCACAUAAUCUCGUCCAAAUACACACACCCAAUUUAGCCCCAACACGUAAUAUAAUAUAUCCCCUCAACCUAGUCCACCACUAAGUCCAUCACAUGAUACACACCCACCACCACCGCUUCGACAUUCUGAACGCCUAAAACAACCUUCAGUGCUUCUACGUGACUACCACUGUUACACUGCCAUGUCUCCCUAUUAUGAUUCGUCAUCUUCUUCAAAUACAAAAGGUAAGGGCACCCGAUACCUUAUUUCCCAAUUUCUUAAUUAUCAUAAUUUGUCAUCCACUCACAAAUCUUUUGUAGCUUCCAUCUCUCGAGUUGUUGAGCCAACUACUUUUGCCCAAGCUUCGACUGACCCUCUUUGGCAAGAAGCCAUGGACAACGAAAUUCAAGCUCUUGAGAAAUAAUACUUGGUCCAUAACACCUUUACCUGCAGGAAAACACCCAAUUGGCUACAAAUGGGUGUACAAAGUCAAAUAUAAUUCUAACGGUUCCGUCGAGCACUACAAAGCUCGUCUCGUGGCCAAGGGAUAUACCCAACAGGAAGGCUUGGACUACACGGAGACAUUCUCUCCCACAGCUAAAUUGGUGACUUUCUGAUGCUUGCUUGCUCUUGCCGCUGUACGCAAUUGGCCCCUCCACCAAUUAGACGUCCAAAAUGCUUUUCUUCAUGGAGAUUUAGACGAAGAAGUCUACAUGCUUCCUCCACCCGGCCUUCGCCGACAGGGGGAGCACUUGGUUUGUCGGCUACACAAAUCAUUAUACGGGUUGAAGCAAGCAUCAUGAAAUUGGUUUGCCAAGUUCACCAAUGCCCUUCAAGAUGCCGGAUUUGUCCAAUCCCUGGCAGAUUAUUCACUUUUCACAAGGUAUCACGAUAAUUCAUUUACCAUUAUAUUAAUUUAUGUAAAUGAUAUUGUCAUUACAGGGAAUGAUCCUAAGGCAAUUCAGUCUCUUAAGGAUUUCCUCCAUGCUCGCUUCCGCAUAAAAGACCUUGGAAAUCUUAAAUAUUUUUUGGGAAUUGAAGUAGCAAGAUCAAAUAAAAGAAUUUUCAUAUCUCAACGCAAGUACGCACUGGAUAUACUUGACGACGCUGGACUUUUGGGUGCUCGCCCUUAUUCCUUUCCCAUGGAGCAGACGCUUAGACUCAACCCUACUGAUGGCAAACCACUACAAGAUCCUACCAGAUACAGGCGAUUAGUAGGUCGCCUCAUUUAUCUCACAGUAACGAGGCUAGAUCUCUCAUUUGCUGUCCAUGUGCUUAGCCGUUUCAUGCAUGAGCCGCACCAACCUCAUCUAGAUGCAGCUCUUCGUGUACUACGUUAUUUGAAAGGCUCUCCAAGAGAAGGCAUUUUAUUUCCUACGACAAAUUACCUAAAGUUAAAGGCAUUUUGUGACUCAGAUUGGGCAAGUUGUCCAACUACUAGGAGAUCUGUCACAGGUUAUUGUACUUUCCUUGGUGAUUCUUUGAUUUCUUGAAAAACCAAAAAACUAAAUACUGUGGCACGUUCCUCUACAGAAGUAGAAUACCGAGCUAUGGCAGAUGCAUGUUGUGAGCUCACAUGGUUACGUUACAUCCUCAAAGACUUAGGCAUUCAACAUUUAGAACCAGCAGUAUUGCAUUGUGAUAAUCAAUCAGCCCUUUAUAUUGCAAAGAAUCCAGUAUUUCACGAGCGAACGAAGCAUAUUGAUCUUGAUUGUCACUUGGUGAGACAAAACAUUCAAUCAAGCUUGGUGUCUACUGCCUACACGCCAACAAAGAUGCAGAUUGCUGAUAUAUUUACUAAACCCUUGGGCAAGGUUCCUUUUGGUUCAUUAUUAGGCAAGUUGGGAGUAUACAACAUACACUCUCCAACUUGAAGGGGCGUAUUGAAAUAAGAAGUCAACGUGAAUAUUUCUUUCCUAGUAUAAAAGAUUGACAGCUACAAUUUAGCAUUCCUAUUCUGGUUAACCAUUGAUUCGUAGGAUCUAGAUACAAGGAGAAUUGUAGGUUCAUCUCCUAUAUAUGUUGCUAUGCCUUGAGUAAAGAACACGGAACAUGUCAACUUUUAAACCUUGAGUCAAUAAAGAAACAUAAGAGUGAUGGAAACAAUUUCCUUCACAUUGGCCUCGUUCAAGUAGCAGUCAAACCCGUUACAAGGUUAGGACUAAAUGCCUCUAUUUUACUUUGCCUACGUGAUGCUAGAUUUACCAACUUUAGUGAUAGUACCUUAGGAAUAAUUGAGUCAAGCUUGUUUAAUGGUCCAAUUCACUUUGAUUGUUACCCAGACUUCACGAUAAGCCUAAGUGAUCCCCACAUAUUAAAAAAUCUAACAUUAAACAUUAAAACUUUAGGGUAUAAAGUCUUGCCAGGUAGCCAACCUCUAGCUUUAGUCCAUAUAAUUUAUUAUAAAGUCACAGGAACUAAUAUGAAUUUCCAAGCUCUUAAUAAAAGCCCAAAAGACCAAACCUUGCUUAUUCAAAGUAGUAAAGCUGAUGCUAAUAUAAGAGUUCCCCAUACAAUUAAGUGGUCAGAAGUAACCUUACUCCUAGAUUGGACAUUAUCAACAUAAAAUCAACCUUGAUCAUUUCUUAUAUAUAUAUAUAUAUAUGCACUUUUAUUCUUAUUUACUGGUGAAGAUCCUUUAUCGCCGUGCAUGCGUUUUGGAAGAGAGUGGUCUAGGAAGGAAAAAAGGUCCUGAUUGAGUUUGUGUUAUAUGCUAUAUUGGGAUUAUGCGAUAUCUUAGUUUUAAAGUCGAUUUUGUUAUAUAAAUAUGUAUAUGGGUAUUUGUGUGAGUACAUUUGUGGACUUGUUUCCAGGUUGAGUUUUCUGAGCAUGUGCAUUGAGACUGCUCUACACAGGUAUGGAUUUUUGAAAUGAGGUUUGGAUUUCAGAUUGGCUAUUUGCAAACAAUUAUUUGACAUUUUAUGUUUGCAAGCAUAUGCCUAAGAAAGGGGAUGGUUGCAGAAGAAAAAGGAUAUUUUGGGUUUUGAUGUUUAUAUUUUACAUUAACAGAAUUAUUUUGGAAGUUUCAAUUAUAUGGUAUUACAAUAAAGACUAAAUGAUUAUGUUCGUGUUUUCCAAAAAAAGUGAGAAGUAUUAAUUAAAUGGAUUACUUUAUUGUAUAUUUUGUUAUAAGUAUACUAAAUUGGACUAUUUUCAAGUAUGUAUAUAUGUACACAUACAAGGGAUUUGGUUGGUUGGCAUUAUUUUCUAAAACAGAGGGGUUAUUUAUGUUGCAUAUAAAUUAUGUUAAACACUUUGUUUUCAUCCACUUACAUUUUAUGUUUUGCGGCCCCCAGGUUCUAGAUAUCCAAGGUCGAGACCACCAUGUCAAGGCAUCGGGACUGCUCGCUCUGUAGGAACUUCUUCUUUAUCUUUUUCCUACUUUCCUUCUUCCCGGGUUAUAAAUUAAAUCUUUAGUUGUUCUGGUUUCUCGUAUAAGUUUGGGUAGGGUGCGUGAGGCCCAUUUCCUUAAUUUUAGUUGUUGUGUGUGCCAUUAUCUUGUGCAUGCUGAAAAUUGGGGUUAUUUCUGUACUUGUUUGCAAGUAUUGUAAUUUGGGAAUUGUUCCAAUUAUAGGGAAGAUUCUGCCAAAAUUUCAAUAAAAGUCGAACUGUUUAUCCAUUUAAAUUAGGGCUACAUGGCUUUUUAGUAAUGCAGGUCCGGCACUGGGUAGAUGUCGGAUGGGAAGCAGAGUUCGUCACUAUAAUUCACGCUCAAGUAUGAUUUUCUAUAUUUGAAAUCCUUUUUCUGAUUUUGAAUAGCUUUUCUAAAUCUUCUUCAUAGAAAAAAAAAAUCCAUAUGUUGUCAUACAUCAAUUGAAGAGAUGACAUAUAAUACACCAAAGGGAAGAUAUUCAUCUUGGCCUUACUCAGGGGAUAAACGAAAAAAGGGGUGAAAUAAUACACAUGACUGACUAAAUAACUAGAAAGGGCGAUUUGAGAAAUAUUAGACGAUUUUUGGUCAGUGCCAUACCGAUGUCCCCCAUUUUCCAUUUUUUGGAAGGUUAUGGAAGACUUGGUUAGUCACACUGACCUAGUUCAAACAAUUGUUUGACCUCAACCUCAAAAGGUUAUCUCGCUGUUUAGACCAAAUUCAGGCAUCAACAACUUAUAUGGUGUCAUUAUUGUUUACUCAACUUGAGUUAAGCGUGGAUGUUUAGAUUUGAAGUAGAGAAUUAAAUUUUAACAUACUAUGAUUUCAUAUAAUUUAAUAAGAAAAAUACUUGCGUCCUUCCCUAGAGGUAGGAAUUCCUACUGUCUUGUCUAUCAUAAUUUGACAUGUGUGUAGAGAUUUAUAUUUUUAUAUUUUUUAUGAAUUAUUUUUGAAUAUAUGUAGUGUGAUUUGUAGGAAGUAAGAAUGUCUCUUUCUUAGGAGGGAAGCAAUGUCUAUUAAAUAACAUCUUUAAUGAAAUAGUCAACAAAUUAAUUUUUUUAGUAACUUCCUGAUAGAGUUUGUUAUUUAAUUUUUAUUUUAAAUUAAUCUAAUCUACAGGAAGGAAAAUUUAAACCUUGAUGCAAUUCAUUGCUCUGGCCAACUGAACUAUUUCAUAUUUGUAUUUUCACGGAGUUUAGAGCUGUUGUUAAAGUAAGUGAAGAGAUGACACAAAAUCGAAUAUGAGACGGAGUGGCCACGGACGUUUUGGGUACAGCAAAUCUUUACCGUCCAAAGAGUAGGCAGCUCUCAACCAAAAGCCAUUUAUUUUGACAAAUAAAAAAUCAUUAAUACCAUUUUCCAGAUCUUGAACAAACAAACAAACAAAUCAUGGUACGGAAAAAAACUCACUACUCCAAAACGAGAACAAACUCUGUUUGCACAGGAUUGAAUAAAAUGACACAAACACCCUCACUCCUCCAACGCUUAAGUCAUGUAAUGUGCGGAGAAACGCAACCGAGAUCAAAGGAUAUAUUCGUCCUUUUAAGGAAGUUCAAAAAUAGAAAGUGCCACUUCCUUCUCUCUCAGAUUUCCCCAUUAAGUAAAAAACGAUAUUUUAUUUUAAAUAAAGUAAUAAAAGAACAUGAAAAGUAACAAAAUUCGAAAAAAUAAAAUAAAAUCGCUGCCUUCACGCUCCGUCUCUGAUCUUUCUCCCUCUCUUUCUUUCCCAACUUUCCAACACAAAAAGCACAUUCUGUCUCUCUUUCAUUGAUUUCCUUUUCUCUCCUUUCUGGAAACCCUAAGUGACCUGGUUUUUUUUUUUUUUUUUUUUUUUUCAUUAACCAGGUCCUCAGAGGAGAGAACUUAAUUUUUUUUUUUUUUUUUUGGGGUAGAAAAAAAGUUGCAGGCUUUUUUUUUUUUUUUUUUUCGCAAAUUGUAGUGUCUAAGUUGCAUUGCUCAGCUGCCCUCGACAAUGAACGACCUGCUAAAGGUAAUUUACUUUUGUAUUGGUCCAUUAAUUUACGCCGUGGCUGGUUUGUUUCUACAUUUUUGGAGUUUUUCAUGUUCUGUUUUUGUCAUGAUCCGGCCCUCUUUGAUGUUAUUGGAUCUGCAUUUUUAAACGAGUAUUUUGAACUUUUGGAUUAUGGGAUUUUGUUUUUGGGUUGUCUUUGUUUGGUUGUUGAGAAAAGGAGGGAAAGUAUAGGAAAUUGAAAGUUUUAGAAAUAGAAUCAUGAGAUUUUGCGUUGUCUGGAGAUCCCUCCUGAGGAGAAUGUAGUUUGCUUGACUACAAGUGUUUGGUUUACUUCAUUCUAGCUCAAACAGCAUGAACUAGUAUAGACCAGCAAAAAAAAAAAAGAAGGAAAAAGUUGAUUUCUUUUCCUCCUUUUCUUCUUAUAUUCGGUUUGUGAGCUAUCAAAAAUAAUGGAUCUGCAUUUCUGUUUGAACCUAAUCUUUCUAAAUUAAACUUUGAUGUUAUAGUUAAUGAGAAGUACAUCUCUUUGUCAUUUUUGGAAUUAUGGUGUCGGUUUUUAUGAAUGUUGUCAUAUUGAUAAUUUGAAGUUGGAGUUUAAACAAUUAAAAAGGGAAACAAGGAUAUGAAUGGAAGUUUUCAGACGAGUAUAUACUUUUACAAAUGCUGAACGGAAGAACACUUUACAUAACUGGAUUUCAUUAGUGAUUGAGGCUCGGUUUUUCCUUGUAUAUCUGGAUGGGAUUUCCUUGUUUAUACUACUGAACAGAUACUAGACCGUGUCCUUAAAAAGAUAAAUAGCGGUGUUACAAUUUGGUUGCAUAAUUCUCCAGCAUAUAUAAUGUGUGUGUGUGUGUGUGUAUAGAUAUAAUUUUUUUUUUAAAAUUUAUUUAUUUCUGUUUGUAUAUAUUUCCAUAGAGUUCAGUGGCGAAAGGAUCCAUUCAAUUGAACUCAAGUAAUCUGGAUUACUGUGUUUUAGAGUUAAGUUCCUUGUCUGUCUGACCUAUUUACUAAUAUAAAACUUGCAGGAUUCUUUUGAGAUCCCUCGGGGUCAAGCAUCUAGAGAUGGAGAUAUCGAACUAGGAACAAAUGGUUCAAUGAAUUCUGGAGAAUUUGGUUUGGAGAAUUUCUUUAAAAAGGUUCAUUAGCGUUCUUGCAUCCUUUUCUUCUAUUUCCCUUGAAUACAUGCAAACGUGAUUAUUUUAUUUUGCUUCAACUUUUCCUUUACAUAAGUAUGGAAUUUAAAAUAUGUUUAUUUUGUGUUGCUUCUGUCUAAUGAUUUCAUGAUUUUUGCCCCCAGGUUCAAGAGAUUGAGAAGCAAAAUGAGAAGCUUAAUAAGCUCCUGAAAAAACUCCAGGUAUCUAAUGUUUUUCGUACAUUGCCAGAACCAUGACAGUCAGUUUGAUACUUCCAGCCUGUUAGUAUUUUCCAAAUCAUUUCAUGAUCAUGGUUCCUAAUGCGUGGGUUAUUUUCUCUGAUUUUUAUAAAUUUAUUACUCUGAACUAGGAGUCAUUUUAGUGUUGCGCUUAUGAAUGUAGCUGUUAGAUUUAGUUGAGAUCAAUUUAUUUUUCCUAGUAGCUUGAAAAAUUGAGUCCCAUUUUUGUUUAGUGUUGUUGUCUUUGGAAUUAUGUGUUUGAUGCCAGUAGAUGGUGGUUCAAUGAUAUUGUAAUUGCAAUUGUAGGUAUAUAGAUAGGAAGGGUCUUCAUUUGGGAAUUUUAGUUAUAAGGUGAUGAACAAAUGUAAAAACAAGGAACCCAAACAUAUACAAUGUUUAGAAUUGUAUAGCAACUAGACCAAGCUUUGCUUAUUUGCAUGCCAAUGCAGCAUCCAGAUUUGUAAUUAAGUAUUGUAUAAACUAUUGUUUGAAAAUAUUGUGUUAGCUUUUAUUUGCCUUACACAAUAACAUAAACAAUUAGAAAGUGUUUUAAAAAAAAAUGAGUCUUUGAGAUAUAACAUGCAGUUUUAUGUAAUUUCGUUAUGAAAUUUGUAUGCAGGAUGCACAUGAGGAGUCCAAGGCUGUGACUAAGGCUCCUUCAAUGAAAUGUAAUCUCGAACUUGUUGAUUUCUUUAUAAAAUGCACUUUUAUGUAAUUUGUUGGUAAAUGUUUGGCAUUCUCAGUUUUGUUUUAACUGCUAACUUCUUAAAAAGAUAGCAUAUACAUGUGCUUAUUUUUGUACUCAAAUAUGCUUUUUUGCGGACAAGUGGAUUUAAUAAAGGGGAUAGAUCACACCGAUAAUUUUUUAUGGUGUUAUCUCGUCUGUUUGCAUUCAACAACUUAAAUUUGAUUUCUUCCUGAUUAAGUCUUCACUGAUGAUGGAUCCUUUCAUCACAUGCAGCAAUCAAGCAGCGGAUGGAGAAAGAUGUCGAUGAAGUUGGAAAAAUUGCUCGUUGGAUAAAGUCAAAAAUUGAAGAACUUGACAAAGAGGUUUAACCUGAUUCAACAGAUAGCUGCUUUUAAUUAUGUGAUCAGAAGUAAUUUUAAUUGCUCGUCUGACUGACCUUUCCUUCUGGGUCCAGAAUUUAGCAAAUAGACAAAAGCCUGGGUGCGGAAAAGGAACAGGUGUAGAUCGAUCCCGAACAGCAACAACCCUGUAAGUUGCUAAUAGUUUAGUGAUUGGCCAGAAAAGUAAUCAUUUUGGUGUUCUUUGUUGUUUUAUUAUACAUUAUAGAAGUAUUGCCUCUUGUGGAUAAUCUAUUGAUCAUUGUGGUUUCCUCUUAUAUUGUUAUUCUAUAGAUGUGUAUUUCAUUUGAUUUGAUUGUUAUGGGCAAAUGUUGCAGUGUUGCAGUAUAGUUCUACUUUUCAAUAUGGCUUAUCAUUUACCGGUGUAUUCUUUUUGAUUUUAAAGAUUGUUCAACCACAACUUCAUUUAAGGGGUUUGCUUUUACUUAAUCAUUAUAAGAACAUGUCUGCAUGGAACUCAAAAGUCUGACUUAAUGGGAUUGUAUUUGUCAAUCAACCGAAUCUGACUUUGUCAAGUGUCCAUUGCCAUCUAUUGUUACAGUGCCUUGAAAAAAAAAUUAAAGGACAAGAUGGCUGAAUUUCAGGUAGGUCACGUACACACAUUUUCUUAUAAGAUUAGUGUUUUAAUCUUGUUUUGUUCAUCUUCUAUUAUAUUCUCUCAAUUUUUUAUUUAUUUAAAAUAUGUAGACUCUAAGAGAAACCAUCCAUCAAGAGUAUCGGGAGGUUGUCGAGAGGCGAGUUUUUACAGGUUUGAACCUUUCACUUGUCACUCAUAUGUGGCUAUUACUUCUGAAACUUGAUGCGCCAGAUUUCUCAUGACCUUAACAAAUUUUUUAUUUCUCUUGCUUUUUGUGAUUAUCAGUAACGGGCACAAGAGCUGAUGAAGAGGUGAAACUUUUUGCACUGUUAAAAUUCCAGUAUAUCUACACCAUUGUAAAACCUCGUGUUCUAAUUAGUUAUCAAUGUACAGACAAUUGAAAGAUUAAUUGAGACAGGAGACAGUGAACAAAUUUUUCAAAAGGCAAUCCAGGAACAAGGACGAGGCCAGGUUUGUCAUUUUUUUUGUUGUUACCUUCUCUUCCCCUAAUUGAGCACGUUUAACUAUCAAAAUUGGAAAUUUUGAGAACUUAAGCAAUUUAUUUUUAUUUUUUUGACAUAUCAAACAAUUUAGUCCAAACUGCAAUCUCAUCUGCUGAAGUUGUUAGCUUGGUCUAAUGAAUCAUCAGAUUUACUAAUUUGUAUUUUCUUUUUCCUUUUUCUCAUUUUUUUACUUCUCCUUUUUGUUAAAGUGAAAAUUAUACGUUUGGGAGAUACCAUGAGCCACUAACCAAUGAUGGUUAAGAUUGAUCACAUCUGAUUUCAAUAUUCGUGUAUCAAAUUGUAGAUAAUGGACACUCUGGCAGAGAUUCAAGAGCGCCAUGAUGCGGUUAGAGAUCUUGAGAGGAAGCUUCUUGAUUUACAACAGGUAUCUUAUUAGUUUGUGCAAUCAUGCUUACUAUUUGAUAAAAAUAUCAAGUUGCUAUAUAAUGCAUAUGUCUAAAUUUUAAAGUUUGCUUUGCCAUGUUGAUUAUAUAGAAUCAAACUGUUGAAUCUUGCUUCAUGGUGUUCUGUAAGAAUGUGUAGGAUCAGUUUGAUCCUGAGGUUGUCUCAUGAUGUGUUGAGCCUGUGCUUAGUGGCUUAUAAAACCAUGUUAUGUUCCACUUUUAAUGCCGUAAUUUGAUCACGUCUGACCUGGAGAAUAGCCCAACAGCCUUGAAAAGGGCUUGACAUACAAUUAAAUGGAAUCUUUUCCGAUCAAAUGGUAUCUUGAGGGGAACCUUGUGGAUUUACAAUGGGUGUCUUGUUAGUUUUGAAUCUUGCUUUAUGGUAUUUUGUAAAAAUGUAAUGGAUCAGUUUGAUCAUGUAUUUGUCUCAAAAUGUUCUGAGCCUGGGCCUCGUCAUCUUCCUCUUGGAGCUAAGUGUAUGUCCACUUUUAAUGCCAUAAAAUUGCUUUUGGGACGCCCUAGUAUGAUAUAAGAGAUGCAUGCCCGAUUGUCCAUAGAUACUUGGAUGUGUAAAAAAUGAAAAGGAAAUAGCAUUGCUAUUUGCAUACUGCCCAUAAUAGUUGAUAAAAUUUGGAAAUAUAUGUUAAAAACCAUCUCUUUUGCACAGAUAUUUCUGGAUAUGGCGGUGUUGGUGGAUGCACAAGGGGACUUACUUGACAACAUAGAAACCCAGGUAUUUUACCAGAAUCUCAAAGCAUGAGGAGGCCCCCACGAAUCUCUCAAAAUUAUUAAACAGAAAAAGAAGACAUGAGUUUGAAAAAUGACAACUGCUACUCUUGCAUCAUACUUCGGCAAAUGAUAACGUAAUUUGUCUUUACUUUCUUUCUCAAGGUAUCGAGUGCAGUAGAUCAUGUACAGCAAGGGAAUACAGCUCUUCAGAAGGCGAAGAAGCUACAGAAGAGUUCCAGGAAAUGGAUGUGCAUUGCAAUCCUCAUCCUUCUCAUCAUUGUUAUAAUCAUUGUGGUGGCCGUGCUCAAGCCGUGGAAUAGCAACAAGGGCGCUUAGCUCUAGCAAUUUGUACUUUGUAAGUAUAGUGUAUUACAACUGACCCCUCUGGGACUCCAGCAAAUCACAUGAAUAAUUUGCGGUUCGUUUUACAAACGUGGUUUCUAGCACUUUUAUUAUCCUAUGAUAAUGAGUGUGCAUGUAACACUAUUAAUUUGAAGAAACUGUCACUAUAUUCUUUAAUAUACAUAAAAUAAAAAACUUUAAAUCAAUUUUUUGUUUUCGUUCAGUCUAACUGAGUUAUUCUGAUCAUCGCAUGGAGAAGUUAGUUUUUUUUUUUUAAUAGACGAACAAACUUAGAGAGAGCAUCCUCUAAGGAUCUCUAAAUUUCUACAAUCAUACGUUUAAUUUUUAUCAAAUCAUAGCAAGCCAAAUACAAGUAUUACUCUUAUCACGACCAAUGUCACCAAGUUCACGUCUGCUUCUCUAUAAACAUGCCUUAGUUGAUUUAACUUGCAAAUUUAGCAUGAGUUCCUUGAUGUCAUUCAGAUGUGAAUAGUCUUCAAGGAGGACCAUAAUCUUUAUCAUUUAGAAUGAAUAAUCCGUUUCCCGAACUGCACAUUUCCAAAGACAGAGGAGCCGGAUCCUUAUUGAAGAGUAGCUAAAAUGUCAGGCUUAAUAAGGAAAUAUGAGUAGCUAAAUGAUUUCCUAAUUGGCAUUGGUGGUUGUUGUAGGGAGGCCAAAUCCAAAUGGGAGAGGAUCGUAAUGCUCAUCUCCAACAUUCAUAGGGAGCUGAUUAACGGUUUUGAACCAAGUGCGAGAAAGCUUGCUAGUAAAACCAGUCACCUAAUAAAAAAUAGCUACUCCUUGGCCUUCAGUUCAUGGAAGCCAAGCUGCAACAAGAGCAUCAAUCGAAGCAACAUAGGGUUGAAUCACAAUAGGAUGGCCGGAGCUGACGAUAACAAAGCAUUUCACAGCACCACAAACAUUAGUGAUGGUGCUCGGGCCGGGGUCGGGGAAUGUCAAAUUUAAGCUGUCACCAAAUGUCUCCGCAUAUGGAUGUUCUCCGACUACAACAAUGGCAUACGAGAAAUCAUUUCACUUUGCUAAGUCAGCGUCAGGAUUCUCCAUGUAGACUAACUUGGGAUUUUGGAUCCACUGUAUUAUCCUUGCAGGUUCUUGAAGCUUGAGCCAGCAGCCUUUCAGGCAUUUCAUGGGUUUUGAUAUGCUUACAUUGCUGUAUACAGAUUUGCAAGAGAUGCUGGGAGGAUUGAUUUGGAUGGAAUCGUUGAGAGGCUGGGUGUGCUUUUGGUUGAAAGAGUGUAAGGGUUUGGAGGGAGGUCUGAGGCGCAUUGACUCAUGACUAAGUGGUUUCACUCAGUUUACUACAACAGAAAAGCCACUCCAUGGCACCUUAAAAACACUGAAAGGCAGGCGUAGUGAUUGGAUAGUUCAUAAACUUGAUUUGUAAACUUGUAAAUACUUGUUAAUGCUGAAGUGUUGCGACACAGAUGUGACCUUCUGAUGUUUUCAUGUGAACCUUCAAACCUUCUAUUAACCAUUAUUAGAGCACUCCUUAUGCACAUGCAAUCAAAUCCAAUUUCAAGUGCAUAUGAGAUGAGCAAGUCAGCUUAGCUUGCAUAAAGAAAUUCUAGAGAUACCAAAUAUCAGAUAUGCUAGCAAGAAGAAAGCAGUUCCAUUGAUCAAGAACUCUUUACGAUUCUAUAUAUCCAAAAGAAAAAAUAAAUCUAACUACCUGAGCAGUUUACUUUGAUUAUAUGCAUCACAAACCCACAAAAGUAAAACAGAAAUUAUACGUACCAUCAGUGGCAGAUCCAGAAAUAUUGGGCCAAGGGGUCAUGUUAUAAAAUUUCCCAAAUUUUUUUGUUGAUGAACUUGGCACUGAAAAAUUAAAUGAUAGUAUUUUCAUUCGUAUUUUAAGGUAAAAACAACAUUAUAAGCUACAACAUCAUAAUUCAUGGUACUUCCAUUCAUAAUUCAUAAAAAUCAAUAAUUCCAUCCCAAUCAUCAUAAUUCAUGGGGUUUCGAAUCUUUGCCCACAUGAUUGGAGGUGGAAGAGCUCAACCAAUUAAGCUAUACCUUAAUGGCUAAAGUUGUUUCUUUGUUUUAUAGUUUGGAAAUUUUGAUUAGAUCUUUUUUUAAAAUUAAAAAAAAUUAAGUUUUAAAGUUGUUUCUUUGUUUUGUAAUUUUACGUAUUCGUGUUUUUUUUUUUUUUUUUUCACAAAGAAAAAACCCAUGUACGUUUUGCAGCCAUUCUUUUUGUUGUACCAACUGAAACUUCAAUGGAGUGAUCUUCAUCAGAAGGUACAUAUUUCAGCACAAUCAAUAUAUGAUCAAAUGCUUGUUAUAUAUGGAAUGGAUUGAUAACAUUUGCGUUUAUAUUUGCCUCGGCCGCUUAUGGAAACAUCAGCUUCAUUUUAUAUGAUUCAAUUCAAACACAAAAGUGAUAAUCAACUGACUGAAUAUCUUCCCAUAUUGUAUGGCAUAUGUAUCAAAGCAAGCGCUGAGCUAUUGAUGAAAUGUAAGUCCAACAAGAAACAAAGAAUGUAGACAAGUUCUUCACUGGGCUCAAAUUAAUGUUCUUGCAAAUGCCAUUGAAAUAUUCUUUCCUACACUUGUCCCCCUUUUUCUUUCAUACUCUUGCGGUACAAUAGCCAAUCGCGUAUGCAAUGCCCUGUACACAAAAAGUAGAGAUGGUAAAAACUGAUUCCAGAUGACAGGUCAUGGAGAGAGUAAGUGUGCAAAAGGAAGAAAUUAAAACCACAGAAAUUGCAAUGGUUACAGUUAGAAAAGGUUACCAAAUGGAAUUGGCAGUAUUAAGAUGCAAAGAAUCCUUUAAAAAAUGCAGCAGAUUUGAACAAGAGUCCAACUGAAGACGAGGAUUAUUAAAAGCUUUGAUGUACAGCCUUUUUUUAUAUAAUUUGAAGAAUUCACUAGUAGAAAUUACAAGAAAAUAAAAAAAAUACAUCAAUCAAUUAUGCAACAGAGUUCAACUCAAAUUCACAAUGUUCUCUCUGGAAAACCCAAAAAGGCUCAGAGUUUUCAAAUUGAAAAAAAUCAUGAACAGGAAGUUCAGGAACACAGGAUUUCAACUAACCUCUAUUGAGCCAAAGAGUGAGGGGCUUCUUGCCAGGCUCCUUGCUCCUCCUAGCUUUCACAUCCACAUCAACAUACUGCUUGAACCCAACAUUUGGCUGAUUAGGCAACCUCACCACCAGAUCUGGUGAAUAGGAUCAAAGAAACCAAUCACUAUUGAGACAAAGAAUGAAGGGCUUCUUUGUCAGUGUCUGUUUCUGCUUCAACGAAGUAGUAAAACAAAGCACCUCCAGGCAUAAAUAUCCACAUCAACAAAGCCAGCAUACCUUACCACACAAACCCAACUAUUGGUUAAGAAGGCAGUCUAAUUCUAAUUAUAAAAUCCUCAAAAGGGAAUCCCUCCUCAAUGGGGAACUCAUAAAUAUGCAUACCUAGAUAUAUGUGUGUGUGUGUGUGUGUAUAUAUAUAUAUUUAGAGAGAGAGAGAGAGAGAGAGAGAGAGAGAUUACAUAAGGAAGUGCAGAGCAAAGUUGCAGAAUACUGCUGGGAUAGUAAUUCUGGUUUACUUUGUAAUCCUGCUAAGAGAGGCCUUGGGAUGUGGUACGCAUAGUAAUAACAAUAUGCACUUGGCGGCAACAGUCAAUACCAUAGGGGCUUCUCUCCCUCUUAUUCAUGCAAGAAAGAAUCUGUGUCACCAACAUAGCCCUCUUCUUUCAUUAUUGCUGUCCAAUACUUUAAAGUUGCCAUGAUUUCAUAGCAUUUGGAUGAGACUUUUCCCCUGCAACAAAUAAAUUUGUUCUCUGUCCCACUACAAUCCAACUACAUCCGUGAACCUUUACCACACCUUUUUCUUUUAUUUCUCUUCCUCAAAGAGCAAGCCUCAUUCCAGUUUCCUGAUACAGAAUGUAUAUUAGAAGGCAAGAUAUAUGAUGAAGAAUUUUGCAGUUCUAAACAACAGUUUUGAAAAUUUAUAAAACAAGAAACUCACAACACAUGACCGCUUCAAAAUGAAAACACAUUCCGUCAGAAAUACUUAAACUAGUUUCCACACUAAAAAUACUAGAAUUUCCGCAUCUCUACAAAUUUUUUGUUCAUUUCAAGGUGCAAAUUAAAUUCCCUCAGAUUUUUUUUCCACUGGAUGAAAAGCAGGAUCCAGUUUGCCCUCAGUAAUUAAGUCAGUUAUCAUUUUUUCUGUUGAAUCAUCUGCACAGAAACCCUUGGUCAUCAUUUCUUGAAUAAGUUCUUGUGCCCUUGAUAGCUCAUCAUUACGGAGAAAUCCCUGGAUGAUUGUGUUGUAGGUAACAGUAUCUGGGGAACAGCCUUUCUCUUCCAUUCCUCUAAGAAAUGCUUCUGCUUCACUAAAUAGGCCCUUGGUAGAAAGAGCAAUUAUCAGUAUUGUAUAGGUCUUGACAUCUGGUUGAAGUCCUUUUGAAGGAAAACUGCAAAAGAGAUCCCUUGCACAUUCAAUUCUUCUUGCCGUGCAUAAACCAUUGAUAAGAAUAUUGUAGAGACCGAUACCAAAAUCCAAGCUACUCCCUUCCAACUCUCCAAACAAUUUCAAAGCCAUAUCAAUCUGGCGGUUUCUACACAGUCCAUCCAGUAAAACACUAUAAGUAUGAAUAUUUGGAAGUGGACCACCAACUUUCAUUUUUGAGAACAUGUUUUGUGCAUCAUCUAUUCUUCCCUCUUUGCAAAAGCCGCCAAUAAGUGUUGUAUAAGUAACAAUAUCUGGAACCAUUCCCUUACGAGUCAUUUCCUCAAACGACAACAUUGCUUCCUUCAUUCUUCUUUCAUUGCAAUAUCCGUUUAUCAGUAUACUAUAACUAAAAACAUCAACAAUAGAGCCCUUCUUAAGCAUUAGAUCAAAAAUGCGUUUUGCUUUAUCCAUAUCUCCUUGCAAGCAAUAACCCUCCAUGAGCGAAUUGUAAGUAACAGUAUUAGGUUCCAUACCUCUAGCAGUCAAAAUAUCAAUUACUUGAUUAGCUUCCUUCAACUUGCCCUCCUUACACAAACAGUCAACAAGGGCACUGAAGGUUUGAACGUUUGGAGAGAUACCGUUACUGUUCAUCUCUUUGAAGAAUCGUGACGCUUCCUUCCACUGACCUAAUCUGCAUAAACCCUGAAACAAAGAUGUAUAAGUUACGAUGUUUGGUGGAAUACCCUUCCUUUUCAUUUCUGAGAAGAGAUUGAAUGCCUCAUCAACAAGCUUGUCCUUACAAAGGCUGUCAAUUAUUGUGCUGUAGACAACUACGUUAGGUUUACAGUCAUUUUUUUCCAUCAUCCGAAGCAUUUCAAUAGCCCUGUCAUUUUGACCUUGUUUGCAUGAGGCAGCUAUUAAUGUACCAAAAGUAAUAACAUUGGGCUUACAUCCUUCUCCAAAGGCUGCCAUUUUGUGGACAAGUGAAGCGGCUUCAUCAACUCUAUUAUCAUGGCCAAGGCCCCUUAUCAAAAUGUUGAGGGUGGUGACAUCUGGUUGAAGCCCCAAUUUAAAGAAUAGUGCCAAGACUGAAAAACUGCCGCCCAUUUCGUUCGAACGACAAAAACAAUUCACGAUAAUGUUUAAAGUAAAGGCAUCAGGAACAAGUCCCAUUCCCAACAGAGUAAUUUGCUUAUACCAAGAUAUGGCUACCGAAUAAUGCUCUAAUUUUGCAACUUGACCCAAUAAUUGAGUGAAGCGGACAAUAGAAGGUCGAGGACGCUGUUUAAGCAUCUUUUUGAACAUAUUUGAUGCCUCCUCGAGAUUAGUGACGUCAAAUGGGUGUUGGGGGUCUCUAGAUUUAGAUUUGCUAGGGUUUGAGGACUGAGAAGAACCAUGAAAUAAACCCAAGUAAUUAUUGUUGGAGAAAAAAACCCUAGACCUAGAUUGCAGUUGCAGACAAGGAUUACCUCUGUGUCGUCGAUUGCAAUAAGAAGAAGAAGCAGAUCUCCGCAUCAUAAUCAUCAUGAUCAUCUGCA